UCGAAAAAUCGCAAAAUUUAUUUUCUAGAUACUUCAAAUACUCUAGAUCAACUCUAACGGAACCGAUCGUCGAUUUGAAAGUCCGAACAUCGAAAACGACUUGGAAGCACGGAGACCUCCGCGCUUCCAUAAGCAUACCAGCACAACUCUAUAAUACAUUAUUUUUAUUAUAAAAUUAUUAAUUGUAGUAUAUUAAUACAUAUUAUUUAUAUUUAAAUAUUAUAAUAAAUUUUAUAAUAAAUUAUAUUUAAAUAUUAUAAUAAAUUUUUUUUAUUAAAUUUAAGUUUAAGUAGAAUUUUUAAAAAAAUUAUACAUUUAUUAUAAUAAAUUAUUUUUAUUAAUCGUUUCUACUGUCACACUCCGGAUUACUCGUUUCUCCGAGCACGCCAACAGACCUGCCGUAUACAUAGAAAUUUUUCCUGUAUACGAAGCGAAAGCUGUACCUGUACAUGUAAUCAUACAACACUACAACCAGUAGUAUAGAACUGCUAAAACUAAAAGCAUAUAUAAAUAACACUGGUUCAACAUACAUACAUAGUAUCCAGAUACAAAACACUCGCUCCAGCGAGUUACAACAUCUGUACGUACAAGAACUUAAAAACUACAACAACCUGUAGCUGAUACUCCUCUAGUUCUGCAGCAAAACUGGAAGGGCUCUAACUCGCGAUACCCUUUCCACGAUCAGUCUCAGCAGUAGCAGCAGCCGCAACAGAAACCUCUGCAACAAAAAAUUCACAACUGGGCAUGAGAACUACUACAAAAAGAAGUAGUCCUCAGUGAGUACUGCUACCAACCUCAACGGCUCACCCACUAAGUCUACAGAUAAUAUGCUCAAUGAUAGUAAAGAACUGAAAACAAUCUACAGCUAUAUACCACUAUACUAUCAUGAUCUAACACUAACUAUCUGUAGAAUAAGGCCAGCUCUGACCCAAUCUCACCAGGGACUGUGAAUACACCCGCCCCAGGUACUGUGAAUAUACUCGUCCCGCCUGUCGAAACUAUACAGCUACCUCCACGCUAAGCCGUCCGUGGAGAGCAAGUCCAAUUAGGAAUUCUGGGUAUCCACCGCCCAUAAACUGUGGCGAUACAAACAAACUACGACUCAUAGAGCUAAAUCUGGUAGUUUUAACAUAUGACAGUGUAGAAUCGCCGAUUUUCUCCUAAGUCAUUUUUCAAGUCCAACAUGUAUAUUUAACUAACAUUUAAGCUCCAAAUUCAGAUUCCAUUAAGUAUGCAAAUCCACUAAUUUGAGCUAACUAACAUGAUACACAGUAAUCAACAUACAUGCCGACAACUAUAACUUAGAAGGAAAAUCGGUAAUUCCGGUAGCAUAACAUUCAACCCACCUCUAGCGCAAUUCCACGGCAGCGAGGAGGUCACGAAGUUGCUGGAAGUUUCAGCCGAAAUCACCCACAACCAGUAACUAAGUUACUCGAAGGAUCUAAAUAUAAAAAGAACACCAAAAAUACCAACAUUGCAUUAUAACCUCAAAUUUCAGCACUUAAGCUAAAACCUCCAAUUCCAAUGUUAAAACUCACCUAACAAUCUCCAAAUUAGGUGAGGAAGGUCUCAAAUCCAGUAGACUAUGAUGGAGUAUCACCCUCUGGUCUAAAAUCCAAUUUCCUCCAAAACUAGCAUCAAGAAAACCCAAAAACUCACCAUUUCAGCUCAAAGCUAUCAAUAGCAGAGAAAAAUGUAGAAUUGACUAAGCUAAUCUCAACCAAAUUCUGUCAAAAUGGGCUCCACGAAUUCCGCUUCAAGUCCAGAAUCCACCAAACCAAGUUUCGUGGCAAACGAAGCUUUCUACGUCACACACGAGCCAAAACGUCGAAGGUUGCUGCUGGAAUUCUGCUGGAACUGCAGUCUUCAAGGUGGAAAGUGUGCAAAUUGGAGAAAUUUGGAGUAAUUUGAGGGGUUGCAAUGCAAAUUGGCCUUCACUGUGAAGAGGAGAUGAAAAGAGUUUACUGGGGACGAACUCUAGCUAUUUAUAGGGAGGUGGAAGAGUCAGAUAAGCCCUAGGAACAAAGGAUACUAACCUGUUAUCCUUGCAGAAACGGGCAUUUUCGGGCACCCGGAACCAUGUUCUGGGCGUCCGAAACCUCCAGGCUGCACAAAUCCUCCUCUUCGGUUCCUCCGCCCGCGGUAUGCUGUGCCCCUAAAGUAGUCCGGCGGAUCCCACCUACCACCAACACGUCUCAACAAGAACGAUAUUUCCAAGGUAACUUUCGGACCCACUUCUGGGCGCCCGAAACAUAGGAUCCGAAUUGGCUUCCAAUUUCAAUUCAAUUCAACACUCAAGUUUUGGGCGACCCAAACCUAGUUCUGGUCGCCCGAAUCUGGCAAAACUGUAGUUUUGCCUAUUUGAGUCCGACAAGUCCAUUUUUGCAUCCAUUUCGUGCAGAAACGAUUCUGACUCAGUCCGACACUCUUUAGAUGUGUCGAUCAGUCACCAAUACUGUAGCCAAUCCUACCCAAAGCUUGGGAACACUACACCCACCCCUAUUUUUAUUUUAAAAAUUUAAAAAUUAAAAAGUUAAAUUUUGAAAAUUUAUAAUUUAUAAUCUCAAAAUUAAAAUUUUUAUAAUUAUAAAUUAUAAAUUAUAAAUUUAAAUUUUGAUAUUUUAAAAUUUUCAAAUUUAUAAUUUGAUAUUUUAUAUUUUUCAAAUUUAAAUUUGAUCAUAUUUUAAAGUUUGAAAUUUAAAAUUUAAAAUUUAAAAUUUUGAAUUUAAAAUUUAAUAUUUUAAAUUUUAAAUUUUAAUUUCAAAUUUUGAAAUUUCAAAGUUAAAAUUUUAAAUUUAAAAAUAUAAAUUUAAAAUUUUAAAAAUUCAAAUUCAAAUAUAAUGAGAGAGUAAUAUUAUUAUUUUUUAUUUAUAAAACCCACUAUCUUUCUUAUUUUAUUUUACCUAACAAAAAGUUAUUUUUUUUUUAUUUACAGGAAUAACCUAAUUUUCAUCCAAACGUAAAAUUAAUCUAAUCCCCACUUAUACUUUAAUUUAUAUAUGUUCCUGAAAUAACUAUUUUUUGUUUAUCCCCGAACCAAACGAUACCAAACGAUACCUAUAAGAGUAUCGAGGUGGAUUAAUUAAUUAAUUAAGCAAGCUUGUUUUACAAUGCAGGAGCUUCUACGGGCGGCCGUCCGUGUUCGACAGCGCGGCGGAAGUGAAUGGCGCGUCGGACGCGAUGGUGGUGAAGACGUGCGCGGAGAUGGAGGGGCCGUACGUGGAGUACCUGGAGGCGCAGUACGGGAAGCCGGUGCUGUUGGUGGGGCCCAUCGUCCCCGACGAGCCCCCCUCGGGUGGCGGCGGCGGCGAGGAGCUGGAGCCGCGCUGGGCCGAGUGGCUGGGCCGCUUCGCCCCGGGCUCCGUCGUCUUCUGCUCCUUCGGUAGCGAGACCUUCCUCGCCGACUCCGCCGUCGAGGAGCUCCUCUUCGGCCUCGAAGCUGCAGGCUCGCCGUUCCUCGUCGUGCUCAAUUUUCCCAAGGGGGGCGGUGGGGGCCAGAAGACACCGAUACCGGAAGGGUUCGAGGAGAGGGUGAGGGGGAGAGGGGUGGUGCACACGGGCGGGUGGGUGCAGCAGCAGCUGCUGCUGCGGCACCCGAGCGUGGGCUGCUUCGUGUGCCACGCCGGGCUGAGCUCCGUGCUGGAGGCAAUCGUCGCGGGGCCGCAGCUGGUCAUGCUGCCGCAGAAGGGCGACCAGUUCCUGAACGCGAAGCUCUUCAUGGCGGAGAUGGGGGUCGGGUUUGAGGUGGAGAGGCGGCCCGAGGACGGCUGGUUCGGGCGCGACGCGGUGUGCGCUGCGGUCAAGGCCGCGAUGGAGGCGGCGGCCCCCGCGGCGAGCCAGCAGAGCAGGGUCGGGGAGAGCCACAGGAAGUGGAGGGAGUUCUUGCUGGACGAACAGGUGCAGGGGAAGUUCACGGUCGAGUUCAUCGACAAGUUGAGGCAGCUGUGUGGGAAAUAGAUUGGGUCAAUUAGAUUGCUCUGUUAGUGGCCAAACAUUGACUAUAAUAAUGGGCUCGUUGUGAUGUUGUUGUAUUAUUAUUGCAAUCUCAUAUUACUAUCUUCAGGUGUGAUUUCUCUGUAUGUUCGUACAACAUUGGUUUAAGACUCUAUAAUGUUCUUGAUUAUAUAAUCCUUCCUGAUCUUCCUUCGUUGGUUUGUAUGCUUCUGCAUAUGUACACAAGUUUGCCCGUUAGUUUUAUGCUUUUUUUGGUUCUUAACUUUUUCCAUAUUUAUGAGAAAAUAGCUAUGAAGGGACUUCUAAUCAAAAAGUGUUGCUUACUACAAGGUCGGAGGUGGAGAAAAAUCCUACGAGGAGUUGGGGUCGGCGGGGGUGAUUGCAGAAUCAAAGAAUUCAAGGAUUUCCUUUCAGGUUUUCAUGUUUUAGACAAGCCUGAUGAAAUUCGAUGGAAAUGGAACGCAAGAAGAUGUUUCACUGUUAAGUCGAUGUAUGUACUAAUCCGAGAUGGGAGAGUUCGAGAUUUUCUUUUAUUAAAGGUUUGGGAGUUGACAAUACCAUCUAAAGUUAGAGUUUUUAUUUGGUUAGCACUUAAGAAGCGCUUACCUACGGUUGAUAACUUACUCAAAAGAGGCUAGUCUCGGAAUCAACAGUGCGUGAUGUGCGGCAACGAUUUAGAGACUGUUGAUCACCUACUGGUUGGAUGCGUAAUCAGCAAAUUUUUCAUAUACAACAUCCUAGAAGGUAGGCACAUUCCAGUAGCGGGGAUGGAGAUUAGGAGUGUUUGGGAGCUUCUGGCUAGGGACCGCCGCCGAGGGGCAGCUACGAUGGAUCUAAUUAGGGUCGUAACUUGUUGGUGGAUGAUUUGGCGGGAAAGAAAUAAUAUUAUUUUUAGAAGCCAAUCAUUUGACCAUUUUUUGACUAAUAGACAAAUACGGAACAUGAGUAGAGAAUGGACUGUGUUUUGCAGCUCUUAGUGCCUUGAGUUUGAGUGAGUACAAGUAUCAAUUUUCUGUAGUUUUUUAUUUUAGUUUCUAUUUGUCUUUUUUGUUUUGGUUGCCUUCAAUGUUUUCCGAAGCCGCGUUGCCUCAAACCCUGUAGCUAAAUUCAUCUGCUAAAUGAAUAAAGCAAGACUUUUGGUGUAUUUAUUUAUCCUGUGUUUUCAAGUUAUUUGAUCUUUGAAGUAAGUUUUGUGAAAUUCAGAGUGUAAACAUCUUGCCUCUUUGAAUUCUUACCGGCUCUUUUUACCUUGUUUGGGUGUGGGGCGUGGGUGUGGGUGUGUGAGCUUAAUUCCGGUAAAUGUUUUACUUAAAUGGCUGUGUAGAUUGCUCUUUGGCUUCGAUCUGACACUGUAAUUUACAGUUUGGAUCUUAUGAGUUUGAUCCAAAUGCAGAAUAUGUACGGCGCAAGCUUCUUGAGCUUGACCCCGUGCUACGAGCAGCAGGAGUUGAUCUAGCUAGGCUCCAACUACCACCCUCUCCCUGUUGUAGAAAUAGAUGCUGCAAAAGAUAAACUCCAAGAAGCCCUUGCAGAGAUGCAGCAGCAAGAAGCUGCUUCACGAGCCGCAGUAGAGAACGGAACCGAAGAAGGCCUCGGUGAUUCUUCAGAACUACCAAUGAUCGAUCUUCCCCAAAGAGAUCCAAAUGGAGGUGGAUCCUGAACCAAUCAGGACAAAUAAUUCCCCUAGAGCAGCAAGGAGACAUGAGGAUCAGAUGGUUCCUAGCAUGACUUCUUCAUUUGUUAAGAGUUGAAGCAGAGGAGGUUUCUGUAAAUUGAGGAAACAAUGGCGAGGACAGUAGGCCGGAGGUGCCUUCAAAUGUAGAUUUUGAGACACAGCCAGAGAGAGAAGAUAUAGGUCAAGCUGUCGACGAAACCGUAAGAAAUAAUGUUACCCAACAUUUCAGUCCUACGAGGAUUCGAGGUGCUGUAUAUUCGACAUUAGAAACUUCUAGUAGCUGGACUGCGAGAGAUGGCGGUGUGGUUCAUGUUUGGUCUCGUCCGACAACAUCUGGUCGUUCAGGACAUUUUGUUGCUGAUGAAACUGCUGUCAUUAACAACAGUUAUUUGGAAAGGCACUUGCAGCCUCACCAACUAAAAAAUUGGAGGCAGUUUUCAUAGACAGUGUGAGUACAGAAUCCACGUAGAAUUCUCUUGUCAAACUCAAAUAUUCAUGUUCUACACUCUUAUCUAAAUAUCUUAGUCUCUCAUGCCGAAAAGCUAAGUUGCUGUUUGGCUCCACGUAAGCGAGGUGUGAUAGUUUUUAGGUUCAAAAGGAUUGAUUCCCUAUAAAAUACGUUUCACUGGAAAAAAAAUUUUACGUAUUGAGAGAAUUAAAAUACUUGUCUGCAUUUUUUCUUGAUUGUUUCAGCACAAAAACACAAAUUGAAACUAAGAAGUUAUUCCUCAUCCUCACUCUCCCUUGCUCAACUCAUUUUUUUUCAUUUGCAAAUCAAACAAGUGUGACUCACAAGCUAGCAUUUAAUUUUAGGCCAAUCAGACAUCAAUAAACAGAAAUUUUGUUUCCAUGGAGAACACUAUUUCCUUGAAAAUAAAUUUCGGUAGUUUUACGUGGGAUCAAAUUCUCCUAAAUUUACAGUUAUUUUACUCUUUUAAUUGCUCAAAGUGCCUUUUUUGUUUGUAGAAGAUGAACAAAAUCUAAGAACAUAAUGAUUAGUUGGGAGGUGGAAAAUGCUAUAUAUGCAGUGAAAUGCUAUCGGUUAGACUCUAGAGUGGCAAAUACUUAAUGUAAAUUAUCUCCCCUCCUCUCCUUUAUUGCUUGAUCUUAAUCAUAGUUAGUUAAUUCGGAUUCAGCAAAAGUUCGGUACGAAUAUAAUUCGAAUAAAAUUCGUAUUUUAUUUUUAAAUUCGUAGAAAAAUACAGUUUAAAAACGGAUUCAUUAAGUAUUCAGAUACGCGAUUUAUACGGAUAUUAUACGUACGUUCACCAAUUAACAAAUCGGGAUAAAAAAUUCGGCUAUUAAACUAAACUUUUUUUUUUUUUCUAGAUUUAUGCUAUUAGCAUACAUAGUUAUAAACUCUUAAAAAUAUAUAAAAAAAAAGAGGGCUACGAAGUGAAAUAGAUUAAGUAAAAAAGGCAAUAACAAAUUUUAAUGUCGUCUCCAUCUUCAUCUUUUUCAUGAUCCACAUAUUUUAAAAAUUCAUGAAGUUUUUUAAUAAUUUGCGAAUAAUUCGGCAAUAAUUCAUAAAGGAAUUUUAUCCAAAAAACCACGCGUUUUUUUGGCCAAAUAGUUUGGCAUAUGCGAAUAAUAAAUCUAACCAAAAAAUUCGCGUAUUAUUCUAAUUUUUUGGAAAUAAAUCGUAUAUGGACCGCUUUAUUCGGAUUUUCAAUAAUUCGUGAAUAAUUCGUGAAUAAUUCAGCGAAUUAACUAACUAUGAUCUUAAAACAAGCAACCUGAUCUUCCAAUGUGAAAUUUCUAUUGAGAAUCUAGUGCUUUAGGGCUUAAUAGCACACAUAGCUGUUUGUAUUAUUGUUUUUUUUUAUUUUUGAGAAUAGGUAGCAUGCCACCUGCUUUAUUCAUUGAAAGUAUGAAUUAGGCUACAGGGGUGAGGCAACCAGGGCCUCUAGGAAAAAAAAAAAACCACGUCAGAAGAAACUAGGCCCAAAAAAAGAAAAAAAAAAUCACAGAAGGUCCUUCCAAGAAUCAAUCAGCUGCUUGAGUCUUUGCACUACUAAUAAAGGGUCUAAAUGUAUGUCACGGAAGACAAGGUUAUUUCUGGCCUUCCAAAUGGUCCACCAGUAUGCAGCCAAUUCAGCUAGACCGUUCCUCCUACUUUGACCACCAAGUCUUCCCUUCCAACCUUUUCCGGACUGUUUGUAUUAUUGUUACAAAAGGAUUGUAUUGAAUCAUUCACUAGAUUGCCAGAGUUGCUGAAUAACGCAUGUCCGUAUCCUUCAUAUUUUUUAACUUUUGGUUUAUUGAACAGCUAAAUAUUCUAUUACCUGCAAAUUGCACAAUGCAACACUAGAGAUCAUACUUUUCCGGGUAUGGCCAUACGGCUUAAGCAUACAUUAUCGGUCGAUUGGUUGGCGAUGUAUCGAUCAUGAGGAUAUGAUGCAACAUUAAGUUGUCUACAUUGGUAAUUUUGUUUACUUUCCUUCUUACUAGUACUCAGAAAAAUGAAGUAAUAAUUCUCGCUCAUGUUUUGUGAAAAACAGUACGUUUGACAUUGUUUUUCUUGUUCGAUAAACAUUAUAUCUUUCUUUUGUUUGUUGAAUGGUGCUAAAGCUUAAAUAGUCCUAAAUCAUUCAGGUUUUUUCUGUGGUUCUGUAAGGUACAGGUCCAAUGGAUAAGAUUUUAAAAAGUAAAAUACUACAGUUUCUUUUGAUUCUUCUAAAAAUUGAGUGAGUUCAAAUUUCCUUUUGCAGGGUAAAACAAAUUGUUAGUUUGUUUUCUUUAAGGACUUUUUGCCCCAGUUUGAGAUAUUUCUUAUUUUUUUUGUCACUUUAAAUGGAAAAGCUUAAUGGAUCAUUGUUGUUGAAUGUCUAAGCACAUUGCUGGACCCCCCGGUGAGUAAUAAUGUAAUUAGAAAGGGUUAAAAAAAAAAAAUUUUACUUCCCAAUUUAACAGAUCUUAAAACAUAUGUGGAUAGCAAAAUGGUUAUGUUUUUCUUUUAAGAGAAAGGUAGCAUAUUACUUGCUUCAUUUAUUAAGGAAUGAAUUAAACUACAAGAGUAAGAUAGAGGGACCUCCGAACGAUACCAAAAUAUAAAAAAAAAAGAAGAAGAAGAAAAAGAAAAAAAAAAUAUUUAAAUUCCUUUAAAUUCCGAGGUCAAGAUACGCUCGUUUAAAUACGCUGUUUUCCUCCCGCUGAAGCUUCUAUCGUCUGGAGUUGACAGCUAGCAAGCGGUCAGCAUUAGCCAUCCUAAAAAUAACGGCAUUCCUUACCUUCCAGAUGACUCACCAACUGGCUGUCAGUCCAGUCAUUAUGAUUAUGUUGCCCGCCUUUUAUGUCAUAAGCAUAUUCUUUAUUUAGCACUAGAGAAUCAAUGGAUUAUGCAAAUUGGUAUAGGUGUUUUAAGAAUACUCAAACAAAUUUCUCAAAAGAAAAAAAGAAUCUCAAAAACAAUAUUACCAUUUCGACCCUUUCUCGGCCUAGUAGAAAAAUAUGGACUUCAAAAUAAACACUAUCUUAAUUAUUUUUUCUAUAUAUAAUAGUAGAAUGGGAAACAGAGCCCUGCACUCUUUUCAUAAUUUUAUUAUUUGUUUAAUCGAUAGAUAAACGGUUGUUACCGGUCAUCACAUCCAUCGGGUCCACCAAAAUAAAACAAAUGUCCAUCAUAUCGUCCAUACUUGAAUUAACAAAUUUACUAAUUGUGUAGCAUGCUUUCUUGUCAAUAAAUCUAUAUUGUGCACCAUCAAUUAAGUCAUUAGAUUUACAUACCUUCAAAAUCAACUCUUUCAAGAUUUUUAAAGUAUGCUGCUUUUCUUUCCAAUUCACCAGCAUAAUAUUCACUACCCAUCGGAGGACCAGCAUCAGUUAAAGUUGUAAAGAGAGACUUUGGCCAAUAGCCUAUUAAAAUUUAUUUUUGAAGUUAGAAAAUUAAAAAUACUAAUAAAAUUAAAAAUAAAAUAAAAUUAAUUAUUAUUUUAAUUUAUUUAAUUUAUUUGUCAUCUAAUUUAUUGCUAAAUUUUUAUGGACAGAUCUAAUAAAUAUUUGUGAUCUAUCGCAACGAUCGAUAUGGGAUUAAUUAGUCUUUUCUCUUUAAAGAUAUAAAUCUAUAUAAUUAUUAUACUUGUAAAUUUUAUUAUUAUAUUUUAAUUUCUAUUUUUUAUAAGAUGUAGUUGUACUUUACAUAUAAAAAAGUUUAUCAGUAUAUUAACUAGUGAGUAUAGUAAGCUAUACAUAGCCAACAUUCAUAAUUAUUUGACUAAAUUUUUUAAAAUAAUAUAAUAAGAACUUAUUGGGACUAAGAAAGCUAAAAUAAAAUUGUAUCAAAGCUUGUCAUUAGGAGGAUAUGUGUAUCCAUUAGCACGUAAGUAUGCCACAUGUUGGCUCGGAAGCUUGCCUGUACCGUACCGUGUCGGCAAACAGUGGCAUGCCCUCAUGUCAUGGCACCUUAAUCCUUAAUUGUUGGUUCUCUUAUUAUGUCGUUGUGGACCGCAAUCCUCUCAACUUAACUCGGUUCAUCCAGCUCAAGUUAAAAGUCUUUUAAACUUAUUAACUUGGGAUAGAAAACAGACAUAUUUUAGCCAAUAAUAAAUAGCUAACAGCCUGUAGGCUAUACGCAUGCACACACUCCCCUUAAAGCAGGAUCCAACCACUGGUCACUGUAGUCGAAGUGAGUGUUGGUACAAAGUAAUACUAUUCAAACAUCCAACAACCAAAGUUGUGGAGAAUCUGUUCUACAACAUCUUAGCAGACCAUUAGUACAUGCAUGUUGUAAAGAUCAGGUAGUCCUGUCUAAAAAGAAAUAAAGCAAAGGAGUUUUAUGCAAAAAUCUCUUGAGAGCUGUGAAAGAAGCUCCCUUAAGAAUCUCAGAUUAUGUAAAGCAGUAUACAAAUAUUCCAGUCACAGAAUACAAGGCUUCUUUUCUAGGUUUAGUUAAGCAAGGAGACAGUGAUGCCUCAUUAUUAUAUAGGUUCUAUUUUUUUAUUAUUUUUUUCUUUUUCUUUUUCUUGCAUGAAAAACCCAACCCAUGUAAAAUCCAAGAGGCCAAUGGGCCCAGUGGACCCUCCAAAUCAACAUUUUCACAUUCAUGGUCCCACAAAAGUGUAACAAGAAUCACUUCCAUCUCCAAGGACAAAGAAAAGGAAAAAGAAAAGAGAUGAAAAAGAAAGAACAAAAAUAAACAUAUGAAAAUAAAUUAAAAAAAACCCAACACUUCCAGCAUAUAAAAAUAUAAAAAAAAAACUAACCCCUCCCCCACAUUACCAUGCUUUCCUAUCCCCCCCUUUCCUUUCUCUCCUUUGAUUCCUCUCAUUCUCCCUUUGCUUCUUUAACUAGUUAUAGUAACACUUCUUUGCAUAUGGCCAUGUUCUUCUUCUUAAACAAGUGAUGGCUCAAGAAGCAAGUUUGGAUAGAGAGAAGUAGAAGUAGAAGGUGUAGAGAAGAGUAUGAGUAGGUCCCUGAGGGCCUUGUUGUGUGUGGGGCUUUUGGUGUCUUUUGCAAUAUAUGUGGAAAGUAGGUCUCAUGGUGCAAAAGCCACACAACCACUUGCUGCUGCAGCAGCUGCUUCUGCUUCUGCUGCAGCUGUGGUGAGUUUUGAGAAUUUGGAGAGCUCCUCUUCAUCAAGAACCAGCAGGCCCAUCAAUAGGCACAUGAUGAACAUGGACCCAUUUAGAAGUAGUAAGAGAAGAGUGCCCAAUGGGGCUGAUCCCAUUCACAACAGGUACACUUUAUAUGUUGCUUGCAUUUGAUAUUAAUUUCUUUGCAAUGAAAUUACUAGUUUAAUUUAGCGCAUCUGUAUGUUGACAGGUACAGUUACGUACUUAAUUAGUCUCAAAAACGAAAAAGGAAAAUCAUACUUCAGUGCAUUUCUCAUCCCAUGAACUAAACUUUUUCAUGUUUUCUGGUUCAUCUUGCAUGUGUUAUGUCAUGCAUUACUUGGUUCUCCAAGGAAAAAUGUGGGAAUGUGUAGUUGUAAAAAUAUAUAUAUAUAUAUAAUAUAUAUAUAUAUAUAUAUAUAUAUAUAUAUUGGAGGCUAGCUACUCUACUCAAUUUGUUGUUGGCCUGUUCAAAAUUGAAAGAAAAGAGAAGUAAUUAAAAAUGUCACACGUAAUUAAUUAAUUCAUUAUACUCAUCACACUACAUUCCCUAAUAUUCAUACUUAUCCUCUCAACAAAAGUAGAUGGAUAUAUUCUUUCUAAUAAAAGUAGAUCAGAUUCUGUAACCCACUUCUAGGUACCCUUCAUUAUAACUACUUAAAAUCAAAAUGCCCCCAGAAAAUGAAAAGUUAAUGCAUGUAAACAUUCCAAUCAUCAUGUAUAAAAAAAUAAUUGGGUCCCACUGAGCUGAUUAUUAAAUCACUUAAUCCAAUAUCUAAUAGUUGAUAAGAACCAUUGUGUGUGUUGCAUGUAACUUACCCCAUGCAUCAAUAGCUAACCACCAUUAUCAUGUGCAAUGUUCACAGGGGAGAGGGGAAGUCGGGGCGACCACCGGGAAGAGCGUAGCAGCGACGGUGCUCCGAGGCGUGGGAGUUUCGACCCUAAGUGUUUAGAGGUGAAUUAUAUACUAGGCCUUAAGGGUCUCAUGGUGAGUGCAACUAUGAGUGGGGCUAUCUUAAUUUAAACAUUCCAAAGAUAUAUAUUAGCCAUAAUAUCUCAUUGCUUUCUUAAAGUGAUCUACUUUAAGAGAUAUUGAUGAUGUUGGGGUUUGUAAUAUAAAGAGUUACCAGCUUCACUCACACAAAAUGAACCUUCAAGAUUCUUUGACCAAAGAUGGCAGGUGCUUUUCCAGUAGCUUUAUUAGUUUUCUCCUUUAUUUUGUUUUAUUGUUUUAUAGAUUUAUAUAAAGAUAGAAAGAUGAAAGAGAAGUGGAUGAAGCUGUAGGUGAAUGAUCAUGUUUUUCAUGUGUGAUAAUCAAAAGAGAUUUAUUUCUGAGUGUUUUUCAAUUACGUCGAUCUUUUACAUAACAUGAUAUUAGAACCAGUCUAAAAUUAAUGCAGUCAAUUCCAAAAAGUCUUGUAUGAAAUUUAAUAAACUUUUUCGUUACCUUUUCUAUCUGUAUAUAUGGCAUAGUUCAUAUUAUUUUUAUCAAACACGCGAGUGAGAAUGUUAAGAUUAUUAUUAAAUUAUUCGUUAUCAACUUAAUUAUUUCGGUAAAUAAAAAAUAAAGAUCAAGAAAUGAUGUAGUUAGUUAGUGGCCCAGCUUCAAACACCAAGGCAUAUGUACCAAAUGUUUUUUUUUUGCUUUUUCCUUUUUCCUUUUUUUGUUUUCAGUAAUAAGCCAUCCUUGUCAAGGUUUGUGAUUUGUUCCCUCGAAAGUAAAGCAAUUAGUCCCUCCAACUAAAGAAGCUUUACUUUGUUUUAAACUUUAUUCUCUCUCUCUUGCUCAUAAUUUGUUUAUACUAGAUUACAUGACCCCACAUACAUGUUUUAUAUAUGCCAAGUUUGAAUAGAUCUUUAGACUAGUCAAAUUAAAAAGAAGAGCCAAAGUAGCAUAACUUGCAUGAUGCUUUUCCUUUAUUGUUUGUUUCUCUCUCUUUUGCUUCUUUUCUUGCACAAUUUUGAUUGGAACGAGGAGCAAACAAAAGACCAGCUCUGUCACAGCAGUGAGAGUCUGAAAUGAGAAACUAAAUCCAUGUCUCCUAGAUCAAACCCCUUGGUAAGGGCUAGAUAUGGUCUAUUUGGAGAACAUGAUCUACAUUAACUUGAUCUAACUUGGCCCAUUUGGUAGGUCUUGUAUGCUAUUAGGAGCACGAAAGUCUCUGUACUCCUAAAUCAUUUUCGAUGAUGGAGCUUCCGAAUUUACGAUCGGCUCCGUUAGACUUAAUCUAGCGUAUUUGAAGUAUGUAGAAAAUAAAUAUUGCAAUCUUUCGAUAUCAUUUACCUAGUGAUCAAAAGAGUUUAAACUCAACGGCUGAAAAUAAAAAUUUCACAAAAAGUGGUGAUAUAACACUAAAAUUUUCGAACAGAGAUAUUGACCUCGUAGUAAAUGGUAUAAAAAAAAUUUUGUCAAAAUUUUAUUUGAUUUGAAUACUUCUAUACCGUUAAACUUGUAAACGAUAUACAUAAACCGUUAAAAAUUAUUAAUUUUGAAUCCUUUCAAUCGCUAGAUAAAUGAUAUCAAAAAAUUUCAAGUUUAAUAGAGCCGAUCAUCAAUUCGAAAGCUCCAUCAUCAAAAACGACCUAGCUAGAAGCAUGGAGACCUCCAUGCUCCUAAUAACACACAAGUCCUACUAGAGAUGUCAACGGGUCAGAUUCGGGAUGGAUUUUCAAAACCCGAAUCCGAACCCGACUCCAAACCCGAGACCUGAACCCGAACCAAAUCCAACGGAUAUUAAAAAUCCAUAUCCAAAUCCGAACCCGACCAAAAAUCCGAAACCCGAACCCAAACCCGAAAAUUUGAACCCGAAACAAUUAUUUCUUUUUUCAAUAUUUCAAAAUAUAUUAUAUUAAAUNCCCAAACCCGAAAAUUUGAACCCGAAACAAUUAUUUCUUUUUUCAAUAUUUCAAAAUAUAUUAUAUUAAAUCUAAAUUUUUAAAAUACAAAUUCAAAUGUAAUAUCAAAUUUUUAAUUAUAUAUAUAUUAUAUAUAAUACAAAAUAAAUUUGGGUUCGGAUCGGGUUCGGGUUGGAUACAGUCAAAAUUUAUAUUCGAAUCCAUGUCUGUCAGGUUUCUAUAUUUUAUAUCCAUAUUCAAAUUCAUAUUCAUUUAGCAUCAGAUAUAUCCGUUUCAUUCAGAUUCAGAUUCAGAUAAAAUUUCGAAUAUCCAUACCCAUUGACAUCCUAAGUCCUACUCUAGAUAUGUGUAAUUUAUUAAUUAAAUACUCAAUAGUAAUUCGCACCGCAANACGGAUAUUAAAAAUCCAUAUCCAAAUCCGAACCCGACCAAAAAUCCGAAACCCGAACCCAAACCCGAAAAUUUGAACCCGAAACAAUUAUUUCUUUUUUCAAUAUUUCAAAAUAUAUUAUAUUAAAUUUUUUUAAAAUACAAAUUCAAAUAUAAUAUCAAAUUUUUAUAUAUAUAUUAUAUAUAAUACAAAAUAAAUUUGGGUUCGGAUCGGGUUCGGGUCGGAUACAGUCAAAAUCCAUAUUCGAAUACAUGUCCGUCAGAUUUCUAUUUUUGAUAUCUAUAUCCAAAUCCAUAUUCAUUUAGCAUCAGAUAUAUCCGUUUCAUUCGGGUUCAGAUUCGGAUAAAAUUUCGAAUAUCCAUACCCAUUGACAUCCUAAGUCCUACUCUAGAUAUGUGUAAUUUAUUAAUUAAAUACUCAAUAGUAAUUCGCACCGCAACCCAAGUUAUGAGUUUGUGGUUAGUUGUAAACAACUCAGCCCAUCCAAAAAAUUUAAAAAAAAAAGGAAAGAAAAAAAAAAUCAAUAAUCCAAAACACACAGAAAUGCUUACUAUAUUCACAACACAAAAAACAGUUAUAUACAUGCAAGAACAGCGAAAGCUGUACCAACUCAGGAUCUCAAAAUACCGACCGUCCCUAGAGCAAGUGGCAAAGUGUCUGCUGAUUGGUAUCCAAGAUCCCAAUUUGAAUUCUAGUUGAUUCAUAUUUCCAAUUAAAUUUAUUUUUAAAUAAAAUAAUCGAAGCGUGUUUCCUAUCNGUUGAGAACCGCCGCUCCGCCGCCAACGUCAAUCCGUCGCAUGCGAGCAAACUCCCUUCUCUUGCUACCGGGCAGAGCUCUUUAAUUAAUUAGCUAUGCAACCGGAUGCUAAUUAAUUUGCCUCUAUACCCAUAGCCGUACAUGCCCUCAAUAACCGGCCACCUUUAUAAUUAGUUUCUCUAAUUAAUUUUGGCCUUGCUCGACACCAAGCCAUGCAUGUAUAUAUAUAUAAGAGAGGGAUUUGGCUCAAUCCUACUCUAAUUAAAUUGAAUAUAGAGUCAUAUAUGGAAAACGAAUCCUAGUCUAUCUAGGAUUCCAAUUUAAAUUAGGAUCCACCAAAAUAAAUCCUCAUGAGAUCCUUUUUAUUUUUUCAUAAAUCCGGUGUAUGAACCAAACCAAAAAAGAAGACAUAUCUUUAACAAUAGAGACAUAUGUUUGGGACACUUUUGAGUAAGUGUCCCAUUUAUGCUAAAACUUAAAAACACAUCUACUAAUGCCUAAAUAUAAAGCCCAGUCCAACCAAAAAUAAAAGAUUAUUCUACUCAACCCAUCACAGCAAGUCCAUUUGGCCCAAUUACAAACAGAAAAAAAGAAAAAAAGAAAAAAGAAAAAUCAAUUACCAUCUUUUUUUCUCUCUUCACUCAAUCCACUGAAAUUCUAGACGAAGAGUCUUUACUGUUGUCCUCCUCCGCCACCGCAGCCAACGAGAUAGAGUUUCGGCGGUUGCUGAAUGCUUAAAUAAGUGUUGGUAAAUUAGCAGCACUUUUUUAGGUUAUAGCGACACUCUUUAACUGUCACUAUAUACCUAACGACCUCACAUAUAGUAACACUUUUUAAAAAUGUCGGUAAUUUUAGCUAGCAGCACUUUUUUGACAUGUACCUACAUUUAAAAGUGUCGCUAUAGACCGUUUUUGUUGUAGUGAUAUUGCCUCUCUUUUUCACUUGAAGAAUGCAAUUCUCAGUAGGAUCGAGCAAAGAAUUGCGGCUUGGCGUUUAUUUUUUUAUUCUUUUAAAAAAAAUAGAAUUUCCAUAUACACUGUAUUACUUGAAAUUCUUUUAUUCAAGAUAUUUAUUUGGUAACAAAGAGUAUAAAACUUGGAAACAAUUUUUUUUUUUUUGCCUCCAAAAUUCUUUAAAAGAAGUUUUCAUCUAUCACUUGGAUUGGUGCAUUACAAACUAAUGAAUAAUGAUAAUAAAAGAAAAUUCCUUCGAUCAAUAUAUGAAAUUAUAUAGAAUUAGUGUGUUUAGAAUAUAAAAAAUAACAACGAUGCCAAACAAGACCUAAGUCUNUUUACCCGUGGGGAGAAUCAAUAGUGAGAACACAAAGUACCAUGCUCUAGGCCCUCUAGUCAAUUAGGCCAAAUCUUAGUAUUAAUUUUACCAUUAUUAUAAAGUUAAGACAUUUACAGGAGCCAGUUUGGCCAAGCUGUAGAAACUAAUAUUGUUGUAAACAGGUUGAAUUCAGGGUGGAUUUUCAAAAAUUUGAAUUCGAAUCCUACUAUCAAACCCGAUAUCUAACUUGAAGCCAAACUCAGCGAAUUUUGAAAAUCUAUAUUCAAAUCCGAACGUGACCAAAAUUGUGAAACCCGAAACCGAACUCUUCUUUACUACAUUUCAAAACAUAUUAUAUUGAAAUUUGAAUUUUUAAAAUAGGAAUUCAAAUAUAACAUCAAAUAUUUUUAUAUAUUAUGUAAUGUAAAAUCAAUUCAGGAUCGGAUCGGAUUUGGAUUGUGUACAGACAAAAUUCAUACUCGAACCAAAACCAUAUACAUGUAGCAUCUGAUAACCCAUCCUGAUCAGAUUCGUAUUCGAAAAAAAAUUUUGGCUCUAGAAUCUUUACUUCGUUUGGUUUGAGGUUAAGUAAGAACUAAUUAUUUUAGGAAUAAAUAUAAAUUCAGGUGUCAAUUUGGAAUAGACAAAUUUUACGUUUAGAUGAAAAUUGAGUUGUUUCCGAAAAUAAGAAAAAUAGCGCUUGAAUAGAUAAGAUGGAAUAAGAAGAAUAGUGGAUAGUUAUAAUAGAAAAUAAUUAUAUUACUCCUUAUAUUUGAAUUUAAAGUUUUAAAUUUUAUAUUUAAAAUUUAAAAUUUAAAUAUAUAACUAUAAAAAAUUUAAAAAUUCAAAAUAAAAUUUAAAUUUUUAAAUCUCAAAUUUAAAUUUUAAAGUUCUAAAUUUUAAAUUUAAAAUUAUAUUUAAAUUUAAAAAUAUCAAAUAUCAAAUUUUAAAUCUAAAAAAUAAAAAAAUAAUUUAAAAUUUAAAAUUUAAUUUUAAUUUUAAAAUUACAAAUUAUUAAAUUUUUAAAAUUUAAAUUAUAAAUUUAAAUUUAAAAAUUAAAUUAAGGUGGGAUUAGCUUAUUCCACUCCAAUUCUAGAUGGAGGUGGGGUUUGUUAACCCCACCCCUAAUGGAUUAUUUCGGAAUAAUCUGUUAGGGAUGGAAAUAACCCGUUAAGGGUGGGAUUAACAAACUUCACCUCCACCGACUGUCCUUAGAGUAAGUGGCAAAAGGUUUGGUGGUUGAUACCCGAAACCCAAGUCGAAUCCUAGUUGAUUCACAUUUCCAGCUAAGUUUAUUUCUAAAUGAAAUAAACGAAAUAGGUAGCGUGCUAUGUAUCUCUCAAAAAAAUAAAAUAAAAUUAAAUAAAAUUAAAAAAAANAAAUUAUAUUUAAAUUUAAAAAUAUCAAAUAUCAAAUUUUAAAUUUUAAAAAUAAAAAAAUAAUUUAAAAUUUUAAUUUUAAUUUUAAUUUUAAAAUUACAAAUUAUUAAAUUUUUAAAAUUUAAAUUAUAAAUUUAAAUUUAAAAAUUAAAUUAGGGUGGGAUUAGCUGAUUCCACUCCAAUUCUAAAUGGAGGUGGAGUUUGUUAACCCCACCCCUAAUGGAUUAUUUCGAAAUAAUCUGUUAGGGAUGGAGAUAACCCGUUAAGGAUGGGAUUAACAAACUUCACCUUCACCGACUGUCCUUAGAGCAAGUGGCAAAGGGCUUGGUGGUUGAUACCCGAAACCCUAGUCGAAUCCUAGUUGAUUCACAUUUCCAGCUAAGUUUAUUUCUAAAUGAAAUAAAUGAAGUAGGUAGCGUGCUACGUAUCUCGCAACAAAAAAAAAAANACCUCCCAAAAAGAUGAUUGGGGAUAAGGGGGAAGGGAUAACCCCUCAAAGGCACCGACCGUUCCUAGAGUAAGUGACAAAGGGCUUGGUGGUUAAUUGGUACCCGAGGUCCUAAGUUUGAAGUCUAGUUGAUUCAUAUUUCUAGCUAAAUUUAUUUUUAAAUAAAAUAAACGAAGCAGGUAGCGUGCUAUCUAUCUCUCUUAAAAAAAAAACAAACUCUACCUCCCAAAACGGUGUCAAGCCUUAGGUGCUAUUGGAGCAACUUCCACCUGAUCAAAAGAUGGAUCACUCACAAUGUGGAGCACAAGAGCAAGGCACUCGAUGCUCGUGAGAGCACCAUAGACUACGAGCGAGGCUAUGCAAUCUAGGAUUUGCACAGAUGCACGAUGAAUACGUCUACGCUAUAGGUGGGGAAGGGUUUUUUAAAAAUAAGUAUAAGUAAAAGCUAAGAGUUACUUGGUUCUUUUCAUUCUCUAUAAUCAAUAAAUGGUUCAUUUUUAUUUUUACUCACCAGGCCUAUAAAUAGGAAGCCCUCAAACCAGCCACAAACUCCAAAUACUAAAAUCCUCUUUUUCAAGAAAUACAAUUUUCAUGAGUUGAGCUGGAAUACUAUUAAUAAUAUUUAAGCUUUUUUCCUAUCGAUUUUUUAAUCGUUCGAUCUACACUUUAAUCAAUUCCACCCUUUAGAUCAUACUAUUCAACCAAUGACGCACUCAACCCUAGGGGGACCACUACUAAACCCUAGGUUUCGUUUGUUUCGAGGUCAAGUAAAAACUAGUUAUUUCAGGGAUAGGUAUAAGUUAGCAGUCUGGAAGAAACCAAUUUUGCUUUUGGAUGGAAAUUGAACUGUUUCCGAUAAUAAGAAAAAUAACAUUUGGAUAGAUAAAGUGGUAUAAGAAUAAUAGUAGGUAGUUAUAAAUAGAAAAUAAUGAUAUUGCCCCUUAUAUUNUCCAGCUAAGUUUAUUUCUAAAUGAAAUAAACGAAAUAGGUAGCGUGCUAUGUAUCUCUCAAAAAAAUAAAAUAAAAUUAAAUAAAAUUAAAAAAAAAAAAACUUCACCUCCCAAAAAAGAUGUUUGGGAAUAAGGGGAAAGGGAUAACCCCUCAAAGGCACCGACCGUUCCUAGAGUAAGUGGCAAAGGGCUUGAUGGUUAAUUGGUACCCGAGGUCCUAAGUUCGAAUUCUAGUUGAUUCAUAUUUCUAUCUAAAUUUAUUUUUAAAUGAAAUAAACGAAGCGGGUAGUGUGCUAUCUAUCUCUCUUAAAAAAAGAAAAAAGAAAAAGAAAAAAAAAAAUCCACCUCCCAAAACGGUGUCAAGCCUUAGGUGCUAUUGGAGCAACUUCCACCUGAUCAAAAGAUGGAUCACUCACAAUGUGGAGCACAAGGCAAUUGAGCACAAGAAGACGGCUAGCCUGAGCCUAAGGGUCGAGCAGUCCACCACUACUAGGUGGUUGCAGGAUGUGCAAGUAGGGUACGUGGAUCUGUAGUAAAUGUUUCCAUAUAUAUAUAUAUAUAUAUAUAUAGAGAGAGAGAGAGAGAGAGAGAGAGAGAGUUGAUCUAGGAUACUUACAAGUAUCAUCCUUAUGUUGCUAUCACGUUUUUAGCCAUAGGAUUUACUUUUUGAUUACAAAUAGUUCUUGAAUCAAACACUAUUCCACCUACCACCUCCUACCACCACCUACCACCAUCAUCUCAAUCUCACAUCUUUUCAUCCAAGGACUCAAAACACACAAGUAUCACUUGGGUGGUACUUGUAAAAGUAUUCUAGCCCUACUAUAUAUAUAUAUAUAUAUAUAUAUAUAUAUAUAAAUCUCGCGAUAUGAGAGUCUAUGCGUACGUGCAUGUUGCGGAGAACAAGUACCCUCGAUAGUUUGUGCUCAGCAACGGAUUUCUAGAUCUGCAUCGGGAGCUGGCUGGUGAUCGUGCUCAGCAGAGCAAGGCACUCGAUGCUCGUGAGAGCACGAUAGACUACGAGCGAGGCUAUGCAAUCUAGGAUUUGCACAGAUGCACGAUGAAUACGUCUACGCUAUAGGUGGGGAAGGGUUUUUUAAAAAUAAGUAUAAGUAAAAGCUAAGAGUUACUUGGUUCUUUACAUUCUCUAUAAUCAAUAAAUGGUUCAUUUUUAUUUUUACUCACCUGGCCUAUAAAUAGGAAGCCCUCAAACCAGCCACAAACUCCAAAUAUUAAAAUCCUCUUUUUCAAGAAAUACAAUUUUCAUGAGUUGAGCUGGAAUACUAUUAAUAAUAUUUAAGCUUUUUUGCUAUCAAUUUUUUAAUCUUUCGAUCUACACUUUAAUCAAUUCCACCCUUUAGAUCAUACUAUUCAACGAAUGACACACUCAACCCUAGGGGGACCACUACUAAACCCUAGGUUUCGUUUGGUUCGAGGUAAAGUAAAAACUAGUUAUUUCAGGAAUAGGUAUAAGUUAGCGGCCUGGAAGAGAUCAAUUUUGUGUCUGGCUGAAAAUUGAGUUGUUUCCAAAAAUAGCAUUUGGUUAGAUAAAGUGGAAUAAGAAUAAUAGUAGGUAGUUAUAAAUAGAAAAUAAUGAUAUUUUUCCUUAUAUUUAAACAUAAAUUUUUAAAUUUUAUAUUUAAAAUUUAAAAUUUAAAUAUAUAACUUUAAAAAUUAAAAAAUUCAAAAUAAAAUUUUAAUUUUUAAAUAUCAAAUUCAAAAUUUUAAAGUUUUAAAUUAUAAAUUUAAGAUCAAUUUGCUAUUUUAAAACAGGAUUCACCCAUGUUUAAUGAAAAAAAAAUUUAUAAAUUUAAGAUUAUAUUUGAAUUUAAAAAUAUCAAAUAUCAAAUUUUAAAUUAAAAAAAUUAAAAUAAUAAUUUAAAAUUUAAAAUUUAAAAUUAUAAAUAUUAAUUUUAAUAUUAUAAAUUUUUAAAUUUGAAAAAAUAUAAUAUUUAAUAUUUAAAUUUUAAAUUUUAAUUUAAAAAUUAAAUAGGGGUGGGAUUAGCUAAUCCCAGCUAAUCCCUGGGAUUAGCUAAUCCCACCCUUAUUCAAAGGGGAGGGUGGGGUUAGCCAACCCUACCCUUAUAAAAAAAAGUGUUUGGGGAUUAAGCGGGGGGAUAACCCCUUAUCUCUCCUCUUAAUCCUAAAUCAAACACCACCUACGGAACCACUAUCAUCCUAUCCCUACAAUUUUUCAUCCAAGUGUUAAAAGUUCGAUAGCAAAAUAGUCCUAAUACUAUUAAUAGUAUUCCAACCUAAUUCUAAUUUUCAUAUCUCAAAAGUUUAGCACUCUUUCUAGCACUUAGUUUUAGAGUGCAAGUAGGUCCAGACUAGCAAAAUCGAGACAGAAUUGCUCAUUUUCAAGGAGGAAGGUGGGUGCUACACGGAUUAUUUGAGCAAAAUCGCUAGCUCCCUGACAAUAUGCUUUCUUAAAAAUUCACAAAUAAUAUUUAACAAAGAUAGUUAUAGUUUAAAAACUGUGGUCAUAACUGCAUUUACAUACUAUAGUUAGUUAAUUCGCGAAUAAUUAGCAUGUUAUUGGCAAACAAUUGAAAAACUANACAUCGAUCAAUCGUUAAAAUAGUUAUUUAUAAAAUUCUUUGAUCACUUAAUAAAUGAUAUUAAAAAAUUAUAAAAUUUAAUUUCUAAAUAGUUCUAAUAUUGUAUAUCAUGUCUAAUACAACAUAUUGUUGAAUUGAGUAUCUUAUCGUCAAAAAUAACUUACAAUCAUGAAAAGCUUGUGUGCUUUUAAAAUCACAGGAGCUAGCGUACUACUCUAGCCAAAUGUUUACCUAAAAACUAGGAAAAACUUCAAAUACCACCCCUGUAGUUUUAUAUUUUUUUACUUUAGCAUCCUAUGGUUUAAAGUGUAUCAAUUUAGUGCCAUGUGAUUUCAUUUUUAUUUUUUUAUUAUCGAUUCUACUAAUUUUUUUUAUUAAAUCAGUGACAAAAUUAAAACUAAAGGGUAUUAAAGUGAAUAUUCGAUAAACCUAGAUGCAGUAUUUGAAGUUUUUUUUAUAUAUAAUUUAAUAAAUUAUUAACGAAAAUGCUGACGAAAAGAUAAAAAUGAAACCACAUGAUGCUAAUUUAAUACACUUAAAUCACAUGGUAUUAAAGUGAGAAAGUACGAAACCUCAGGGUUGGUAUUUGAAGUUUACCCUAAAAACUAUGAUUCAAAAAUCCAACGGUCAACUCCGUGGGCGCGGAAACUCCAGCAAAAGCAGAUAUAGAAAGCAGAGUUAGACCUCCCGGCAAUUUCUGUGGGCGCCGCUAAUUAACAUCCCCUCCCCUCCAUACUCCAAUUCUAUAAAGAUCGAGCUUCUCCACCCAUCCAAUUUCUCACGCUUGAUAAUAAUAAUAAUAAUAAUAAUAAUAAUAAUAAUGGUGAUGGGGGUGGGAUUUCGCCGCGCCCUCGCCGUCCUCUCUCUUCUCUUCGUCGUCUCCCUCACGCUCGUUCUCCACGAGGAGACGAGCGGUGGGCCCGUCGCCUUCGACCCCGCGAGGGUCACCCAGGUCUCGUGGAAGCCCAGGUUUCAGUUCUCCAAUCUCUUCUCUCUUUUGUUCGAGUUUUCUGUUUCGAUAUUAUCGGAUAGGAAAGAAAUUAUAAUUUGUUAAAUGUCUCUCGAAAUUUAAUUGCAGUUUAAUUUGCAGUGCGGUAAAUCUAAAAAAAAAUUAUGAAGAAAAAAAUGGACAUUUGUAGUAGUUAGCAUCAGCCUGAGCCCGUUAAAAAACUCCUUUCUUCGUUUUACUGUAGAGAUGUACAGCGUAUUGUACUUUCACAACAUUGCAAAGUUCUCUAUUUUUUCGUUCGAAAUUUUUUUCUGCAAAGAAUUUUUCACGUAAAUCUAUAUGUUCCAUUUUAUUUUAUUGUCUUGUAGUUUGUUCACUUUGCGAUCGUCAUUUUUCAUUUCAGUUUUUACGCUCAUAGUAAUAUAAUUAAAAAUAUAAGGACUAUAGAUUGGGCUUAAAUAUUUUGAGCCAAUAGUUUGUGACUAUAUUUUCGAUAAUAGUUGUGAAGUCAUUUUAAAAUUUUAAAAAUUUAGAUUUUUAUUUUUUUUUUAUUUUUUUUAUUCUUUUUUUUUGCAGGGUUUUCUUGUAUAAGAGGUUUCUUUCUGAUGAAGAGUGCGACCACCUGAUCAAGUUGGUAUGUGGAUUAAUUUAUUUUUGAUGCACCUCAACUUACUUAUAGGUUAUUCUGAAAUAAGCUUCUGAACAGUAUAUAUAUAUAUAUUUUUUUAAUGAUAGCAUUUGUUUUAAUUGCUUUUACUUAAUAUUGUGCCCAGAAGAUGAAUUGAAAUUUCCGUUUAGUUCGAGAAUGUUGGUUUGAAAUAACUUAAAUUAAAAGAAACAAAAGUUGAGGGGUGCUGAAAAACAAACAGAAGCAGAAUUUGAGGGUAUAUUUCAAAAAUACGCUAUAGUUGAAGAACCGGUUCUUCAUACAUUUUUACAUCAAUCUCUCUUAUAUGUCCUCACUUUACUUAUUCUUGAUUCGGUUUGGAUUAUGAGUAGGCAAAGAGUAAGCUGGCGAAAUCGAUGGUCGCGGAUAAUGAGUCGGGGAAGAGUGUGAUGAGCAAUGUUCGGACGAGCUCCGGCAUGUUCUUGAUGAAGCGUCAGGUAUUUCUCCGAUUACCGGAGCUUCUUCUUUGCAUUUCUUCAGCAUUAGGAUUUACAUCAAGAGAGAGAUUCAGAGUUGAUGUUACAAAAUAUCAAAAUUGAAGUUCAACAUGUGCAGAAAAUGUCUGACGAAUUUUUCAGCAUAGUAAUACCGACAGAUUCGCUAAAUUGUAUCACAACAAUUGAUAAAACAUGAUUAAGAAAAAUGAGAAUAACACCCCUUUCCAUGCAGGACGCAAUUGUCGCCAGAAUUGAGCAAAGAAUCGCUGCCUGGACCUUCCUGCCCGAAGGUAAUUCAUAUGAAUUUCUGUUCCUACUGACCGACAGAUUCCUAUUAACUUUUUCUUUUUUAAAAAAAUUUUCUACCUAACACAUUCUGAAAUCAGAAAAUGCCGAGCCCAUUCAAGUGCUGCGGUACGGAAUCGGUCAGAAGUACGAGCCACAUUUCGAUUAUUUUUAUGACCAAAUAAAUCAAGUACGCGGUGGUCANAAUUUUUUAAUUUUAAAUUAUAAAUAUUAAUUUUAAUAUUAUAAAUUUUUAAUUUUAAAAAAUAUAAUAUUUAAUAUUUAAAUUUUAAAUUUUAAUUUAAAAAUUAAAUAGGGGUGGGAUUAGCUAAUCCCACCCUUAUUCAAAGGGGAGGGUGGGGUUAGCCAACCCUACCUUUAUAAAAAAAAAAAAGUGUUUGGGGAUUAAGCGGGGUGAUAACCCCUUAUCUCCCCUCUUAACUCCAAAUCAAACACCACCUACGGGACCACUAUCAUUCCAACCCUACAAUUUUUCAUUCAAGUGUUAAAAGCUCGAUAGCAAAAUAGUCCUAAUACUAUUAAUAGUAUUCCAACCUAAUUCUAAUUUUCAUAUCUCAAAAGUUUAGCACUCUUUCUAGCACUUAGUUUUAGAGUGCAAGUAGGUCCAGACUAGCAAAAUCGGGACAGACUUGCUCAUUUUCAAGGAGGAAGGUGGGUGCUAGACGGAUUAUUUGAGCAAAAUCGCUAGCUCCCUGACGUUAUGCUUUCUUAAAAAUUCACAAAUAAUAUUUAACAAAGAUAGUCAUAGUUUAAAAACUGUGGCCAUAACUGCGUUUACAUACCAUAGUUAGUUAAUUCGCGAAUAAUUAGCAUGUUAUUGGCAAACAAUUGAAAAACUAAAUAAAUUGAUCCGUCUGCGAAGUCUUUUUAAAAGUUGUAAUAACAUUCCUUGUGUAUUUUUUUUUUGUUGAUCAUAGCAUUCGCAAUUAAAACGCCUGCGCCGAAUGGUAUGUUGAAGAAUUCGAACUGGACAACUACGGAAAGAUAAAAUUUCUCGGAUCGGCACCGUGUCGAUCCGAGCAUCUCCGCCCUAUCAAUCGAGCCACCUUUCCUCUUCGAUCUUGAAGAAAACAUGAAAAUGAAAAAAGCAGUGCACCGCGCGAUUGAAGUAUCGCAUUGCAUGAGCUAAUAUGGGCCUUGUAGACCGCAUCGAUCGUAGACUUUUGUUUUUUUUUUUUGAGAGAUGGGUAGCAUGCUAUUCGUUUCGUUUAUUUUAUUUAAAAAUAAACUUAACUGAAAAUGUGAAUCAACUAGAAUUCGAACUCAGGACCUCAAAUACCAACCACCAAACUCUUUGCCACUUGCGCUAGGCAUAGUCGGUUAUAAAUCUAUACUUUUAUAUGGAUCGCUACAUCUAUCUAUAUUAUAUUACUUAAAAAAGGCUAUUUUUGUUUGCUCUUUUGUCUUUUCCUCCCAAAAUUGCCACUCUUUUGUAAUAUAAUGUCAAUUUUUUUAAAAAAAAUAAUAUCUUAUAUACCUUUCAAAAUUUUUAAAAUUUCUUAUAUAUUGUUACUUUUUUGUUUCAAAUAUAUCCUUCGUAUAUUUUUUCGUUAUUUAAAAAUAAUCUAUUUGUUAAUACCCGCUAAGUCAUCAUCGAUUAAAUCUGAAUUAAAUUUUUAUCAGAGUUAAAAAAAAUCAAAAUAUUUUUUUUUCUAAGUUAUGAGUAAAUAAGAAAAGUUGGUGACGAUACAAGAUUAUAUUUGAAGGGGAUAAAGUCAAAAUAUUUUUUUUUGCUCCUAAUAUAAAGGCAAAUAAAGAAAAUUUAGUAAUAGUAAAAAUUAUAUUUAAAAAUAGCAGUUUUAUAGAGAUAACGGUUGUUCCUAACAGUUUACUCAUAGAAUUUAACUCUAAAAAUAUAUUUAAAAGAAUUUAAAAUAUUAAAAAAAAAAUUUAUAUUAACUUUCUAAAAAAAUAAAUAAAUAAAUGAAAAUUUUCUCGAGAUAUAAGUGAUUGCCCCCUAAAAAACAUAACCACACGACUUGCGCGCGAAGGAAGCCCCAUCCACGAGGCUCCUUUCCCAUAUUUUUUUCAUUUUACUUUUUUUUUUAAAAUUUUAAUUUUACUAGGUUUAUCCUUUUUUUCUAUUUUUAUUUGUAUUUCUAUUCUUUAUUAAAAAAAUAAAAAAAUUCAUUUUUCUAAAGAAACACUACCACUUCCUCGUACGGAUGUGUACCCCACUGGUGAGAUGCACGGGUCAAUUCCGUUAUGCUUCAAAAGUCAAAACAUAAAAUGUGUUUGCAUUUACCCUUCAAUAUAUUUCCUCCUUUUCCCUUUGCAAUUAGCGCAUGUUUAAUUUAAAGUAAUUGAGAUUUGAAUGAGAAAUAAGAUAUAUUUGCUUGGAUUAAGAGAUUGAUACUUCGAUUUUCAUUUCGGGAAUAUUAAAAUUCCUCAAAAAUGAAGUCAAUAAGUUCAAAUUUGAACAAUAAAUUUAAAUGUUGAAUCUUAAUUUGAACAUAAUUACGAUUUCAAAUUCUUUUUCAACCAAAUGUGCUUUUAAUGUGGGACAAAGUUGGUCAAAUUCGAGGGACGUGUCCUUACAACUUUGAAUGCAGUAGCUUGAUCAAUCCCCUCCUACAAGCACCCACAAGUCUCGGUCGAAGCAGUGUGAAUUUGAAUGGCUCCAUCGGGUCCAAUCAACUUGACCCGAACUAGGACUAUUGACCCGAACCCGUUUGAGAAUUUCCUAUUGUUUUUUGCAUUGUCCUUACCAUGCAAAUACCAAAUAUUUUCCUACCUUAACGGCCUAUAAAAAAACCCGUCUCAUUGUAUAGUUCCCUAUCAAAUUUUGUAUCCUGAAUCAAAACGUGAGAGAUACACAAGCAAAAAAAAAAUGGCAAAAGGGUGUAAUGCCAUGGAAGUGAUGCUANNNNNNNNNNNNNNNNNNNNNNNNNNNNNNNNNNNNNNNNNNNNNNNNNNNNNNNNNNNNNNNNNNNNNNAAAAAAAUUUAUGAAAUUAAGUGUAUAAUUUUGAAUUUAAAAUAGUCAAAUAUCAUAAUUUUAAAUUAAAAAUUAAAAUAAUAAUUUUAAAAUUUAAAAUUUAAAAUUAUAAAUAUUAUUUUAAUAUAUAAUUUAAAUUGAAUAAAUAUAUAUUUAUAUUUAAAUUUUUAAAUUUAAUUUUAAAUAUUAAUAGGGGGGACGAUUAGCUUAAUCCCAGCUAUCCCUGGAUUAAGCUAAUCCCACCCUAUUCCAAAGGGGAGGUGGCGGUAGUCCAACACCUACCCUAUUAAAAAAAAGAGUGUUUGGGGAUUAACGGGGGAUAACCCCUUAUCUCUCCUCUUCAAUCAAUCAAACACCACCUACGAACCACUAUCAAUCGUAUCCCGUCAAUUUUUCAUCCAACAAGUGUUAAAAGCUCGAUAGCAAAAUAGUCCUAAUACUAUUAAUAGUAUUCCAACCUAAUUCUAAUUUUCAUAUCUCAAAAGUUUAGCACUCUUUCUAGCACUUAGUUUUAGAGUGCAAGUAGGUCCAGACUAGCAAAAUCGAGACAGAAUUGCUCAUUUUCAAGGAGGAAGGUGGGUGCUACACGGAUUAUUUGAGCAAAAUCGCUAGCUCCCUGACAAUAUGCUUUCUUAAAAAUUCACAAAUAAUAUUUAACAAAGAUAGUUAUAGUUUAAAAACUGUGGUCAUAACUGCAUUUACAUACUAUAGUUAGUUAAUUCGCGAAUAAUUAGCAUGUUAUUGGCAAACAAUUGAAAAACUAAAUAAAUUGAUCCGUCUGCAAAGUCUUUUUAAAAGUUGUAACAACAUUCCUUUUGUAUGUAUUUUUUUUUUGUUGAUCAUAGCAUUCGCAAUUAAAAUGCCUGCGCCGAAUGGUAUGUUGAAGAAUUCGAACUGGACAACUACGGAAAGAUAAAAUUUCUCGGAUCGGCACCGUGUCGAUCCGAGCAUCUCCACCCUAUCAAUCGAGCCACCUUUCCUCUUCGAUCUUGAGGAAAACAUGAAAAUGAAAAAAGCAGUGCACCGCGCGAUUGAAGCAUCGCGUUGCACGAGCUAAUAUGGGCCUUGUGGACAGCAUCCAUCAUGGACUUUUUUUAUUUGAGAGAUGGGUAGCAUACUAUCCGCUUCGUUUAUUUCAUUUAAAAAUAAACUUAGCUGAAAAAGUAAAUCAACUAGGAUUCGAACUCAAAACCUCGGGUACUAACAACCAAGCUCUUUGCCACUAGCACUAGAGAUAGUCAGUUAUAAAUCUAUACUUUUAUAUGGUUGCUACAUCUAUCGAUAUUAUAUUAUUUAUAAAAGGCUAUUUUUGUUUGCUCUUUUGUCUUUUCCUUCCAAAAUUGCCACUCUUUUGUAAUAUAAUGUCAAUUUUUUUUAAAAAAUAAUAUCUUAUAUACCUUUCAAAAUUUUUAAAAUUUCUUAUAUAUUGUUAUUUUUUGUUUCAAAUAUAUUCUUUGUAUAUUUUUUCGUUAUUUAAAAAUAAUCCAGCUAUUAAAACCCGCUAAGUCAUCCUCGAUUAAAUCUUAAUUAAAUUGUUAUCAGAGUUAAAAAAAAAUCAAAAUAUUUUUUUUUUCUAAGUUAUGAGUAAAUAAGAAAAGUUGGUGACGGUACAAGGUUAUAUUUGAAAGGAUAAAAGUCAAAAUACUUUUUUUGUUCCUAACAUAAAGGCAAAUAAACCGACCGUCCCUAAAGCAAGUGGCAAAGGGCUCGGUGGUUGGUAUCUAAGACCCAAGUUAGAAUCCUAGUUGAUUCACAUUUCCAGCUAAGUUUAUUUCUAAAUGAAAUAAACGAAGCGGGUAGCGUACUACCUAUCUCUCAAAAAAAAUAUAUAUAAAGGCAAAUAAGAAAAUUUAGUAAUAGUAAAAAAGUAUAUUUAAAAAGUCAAAACAGUAGUUUUUCAAAGAUAACGACUGUUUCUAACUGUUUCUAACUGUUCACUUACAGAAUUUAACUAUAAAGAUAUAUUUAAAAGAAUUUGAAAUAUUAAAAAAAUAUUUUUUAUAUUAACUUUCUAAAAACAUAAAUAAAUAAAUGAAAAUUUUUCGGAGAUAUAAGUAUUCGCCCCUUGAAAGACAAAACCAUACAAACUUGCCCCAUCCACGAGGCGCCUAUCCCAUAUUUUUUUUCAUUUUACUUUUCUUUUUCUUUUUUUAAUUUUAAUUUUACUAGGUUUAUCUUUUUUUCUAUUUUUAUUUGUAUUUCUAUUCUUUAUUAAAAAAUAAAAAUAUAUAUUUUUAAAGAAACACUACCACUUCCUCGUACGGAAGUGUUCCCCACUAGAGAGAUGCACGGGUCAAUUCCGUUACGCUUCAAACGUCAAAACAUAAAAUGUGUUUGCAUUUACCCUUCAAUUUCCUCCUUUUCCCUUUGCAAUUAGCGCAUGUUUAAUAUAAAGUAAUUGAGAUUUGAAUGAGAAAUAAGAUAUAUUUGCUUGGAUUAAGAGAUUGAUACUUCGAUUUUCAUUUCGGGAAUAUUAAAAUUCCUCAAAAAUGAAGUCAAAUUUGAUUUUGCAAUAAUUGAGAAAAAAAAUCACUAAUAAUUAUUCGAAUUCAAACAUAAAUCAUACAGAUUCAUUAGAAAAUUUAAAAUUUUAAUUUAAAACUUUGACUUUGAUGUUAAAUUUGAAUUAUAAGUUCAAAUUUGAAAAAUAAAUUUAAAUGUUGAAUCUUAAUUUGAACAUAAUUACGAUUUCAAAUUCUUUUUCAACCAAAUGUGCUUUUAAUGUGGGACAAAGUUGGUCAAAUUCGAGGGACGUGUCCUUUCAACUUUGAAUGCAGUAGCUUGAUCAAUCCCCUCCUACAAGCACCCACAAGUCUCGGUCGAAGCAGUGUGAAUUUGAAUGGCUCCAUCGGGUUCAAUCAACUUGACCCGAACUAGGACUAUUGACCCGAACCCGUUUGAGAAGUUCCUAUUGUUUUUUGCAUUGUACUUACCAUGCAAAUACCAAAUAUUUUCUACCUUAACGGGCUAUAAAAAAACCCGUCUCAUUGUAUAGUUCUCUAUCAAAUUUUGUAUCCUGAAUCAAAACGUGAGAGAUACACAAGCAAAAAAACAAUGGCAAAAGGGUGUAAUGCCAUGGAAGUGAUGCUAAUACUCAUAUUGUUGAUAUGUAGCUCAUACUCUCUGUCGAUGGCGAGGCCGUUAGAGAUCAUCAGAGGUAAUCUGGGAGUGUUCGAGUCUAUUCCGCAAGGACAAGUUCCUUCAACGGGGCACUCGGGAUGCACCAGUGACUCCAACAGUAAGAACGGAUUUUGUCCGAAUCCGCCUCGCGUCGGAGAUGAUCUGGGUGUAGUGUUUGAGUCUCUUCAACAAGGACUAGUUCCGCCAAUGGGGCCCUCGGACUGCACCAGUAACCCCUCAAGUAAGGGUGGGUUUUGUCCGAACCCACCACGAGGUUAAACGCGAUUUGCUAACACAAUAUUGAUGAUUUGUGGGAAAGGGUGCAACUCCUAUUUUAAUAAAUAAACAUGGGGGGUUAAUUAGAUCGAAUAACAAAGCAUGUGUGACAUGCUCAGUGUCCGUGGAUUGUUUAUUUGUUUCUUUUUUAUCAUAAGGUGUAUUAAUUAUUUAUCUCAAGUGCAUUUACCUAGCUCAAUAGUCCAAACACAAUUGGAACCAUUUCUUUUUUACUUUUUUUUUUUCUUUGCAUUUUGAAAGUUGUGUGUUAUGCGCGCAACCGUCCGGUCCCCAUGCAUCAUACUAUGUUUAUGUCAUAGUGGUUUUUAUAAUAGCACUUUAACUUCUUAAUUAAUUAUCAUCCUCUCAUAUAAACCAGUUUUGACACACGCUUGCGAUCACAAAAUUCUUAUUUAAUAUGGAGUGUCGAGUAAGAAUCACCCGUAACUAAGUUUNCAUAUUGGUGUAACUCAUUUUGCAGUUAUUAUAUCAUCAUCUAAAAUGUAUACUGAGGUUUUCUAUGUUUUCAUCGAAAACCAAAUGGCUUGGCGAUUAAAUAGAAAAUCCAAACAAUAAGAGAUUCUUAGAAAAUAUAUAUACAUGUGGUGAUGGUGAUUGCAUUGGAUUGCUUGUUCAAAUAAAGUUUUAACACUUAGGUGCGUUUGGUUCGCGCUAUCCUUUUAAGAUUUCUAGUAAUCCAAUAAAAAUAAAAAAAUAUAACGAUAUUUGGCUAAACGCACUAAGUAAUCUAGUUGGUAAUAUUAGAUUUACUUGUGAAUGAGAUGCAUCCCAAAGUACUAAUCUCAUUCCUUUGAGGGAGGGUGGGUAUUCUUAUAUUAACGGAUUGGGGUAAUUAUAAUAUGUCUAAUCUCUUUCUUUUUUCCUACCGGCCGGCUAGUUGGUAUUAUUUUUCUUUACACUCUAACCUCAUAUCUCUCUCUAAAUUUUUCUUUUUCUCUCUCUAAACUAAGUUAUUUGUCCCCCUAUUUUUCUAAAAUCUCAACCCUCUCAUUCUCUCUAAUCUCGAUUCUAUUUCUCUUCCUAUUUCUUUAAUUAUACUCUCUCUUUCUAAUUUAUAUUCUCUCUCUCUUUUUUCUAAAAAGAUGUUGAAAUUUUUUUAUAGUAUUAUUUAAAAUUAAUUAAAAAAAUUAAUUAAUUAAUUAUAUAUUUUUCGUAAUCUUAAAUAAUAUUGAUUAAAUAAUAUGACCGUACGAACCAAACACCGAAAUACUAUAUUCCUAGUAAUAGGAUGAAUAGUAAUAAGAUUCUCGAAUAUCAUUUUACUCCAAGUAAUCUUUCAUAGUGCGAACCAAACGCACCCUUAUCUUCAUGCAGUACUGCUAUCCACUGGAAGUAGAUUGCAUUUUAAAGCAUAUCUAUUUUACCUUCACAUAUUAUUUGAUUAACUUUCUUAUUUUGAAUACCCCUUUUUAUAAGAAAUUUCUGCAUUACUAGGAGCAUAGUUUUAAUUAAAGAUUUUGCUUUUUAAGUGGAUCAAAUUCUCAUACAACUUCCCUAUCAAACUAUGUAUCCCUAAGUUUCGUCGUCAUGUACUUAAUUUCUGCUUCUCGAAUAGAGAAAUUGCUAAGAAAAUCGAUUCAGAUAGGUAUUUAGGAACUCAAAAUUGUUGAAAGGGAAGAUCCAAAUCUGAAACUUAACUGAAAUAUUAAGGCGAAGAAAACAGUUUCAGAUUGAAAGAAAACCUUCACUAAUAUUUCCUGAGCACACUCAACUUUUUCUAGGAUUUGCUNUCAAUUUUUUUAAAAAAAAUAAUAUCUUAUAUACCUUUCAAAAUUUUUAAAAUUUCUUAUAUAUUGUUACUUUUUUGUUUCAAAUAUAUCCUUCGUAUAUUUUUUCGUUAUUUAAAAAUAAUCUAUUUGUUAAUACCCGCUAAGUCAUCAUCGAUUAAAUCUGAAUUAAAUUUUUAUCAGAGUUAAAAAAAAUCAAAAUAUUUUUUUUUCUAAGUUAUGAGUAAAUAAGAAAAGUUGGUGACGAUACAAGAUUAUAUUUGAAGGGGAUAAAGUCAAAAUAUUUUUUUUUGCUCCUAAUAUAAAGGCAAAUAAAGAAAAUUUAGUAAUAGUAAAAAUUAUAUUUAAAAAUAGCAGUUUUAUAGAGAUAACGGUUGUUCCUAACAGUUUACUCAUAGAAUUUAACUCUAAAAAUAUAUUUAAAAGAAUUUAAAAUAUUAAAAAAAAAAUUUAUAUUAACUUUCUAAAAAAAUAAAUAAAUAAAUGAAAAUUUUCUCGAGAUAUAAGUGAUUGCCCCCUAAAAAACAUAACCACACGACUUGCGCGCGAAGGAAGCCCCAUCCACGAGGCUCCUUUCCCAUAUUUUUUUCAUUUUACUUUUUUUUUUAAAAUUUUAAUUUUACUAGGUUUAUCCUUUUUUUCUAUUUUUAUUUGUAUUUCUAUUCUUUAUUAAAAAAAUAAAAAAAUUCAUUUUUCUAAAGAAACACUACCACUUCCUCGUACGGAUGUGUACCCCACUGGUGAGAUGCACGGGUCAAUUCCGUUAUGCUUCAAAAGUCAAAACAUAAAAUGUGUUUGCAUUUACCCUUCAAUAUAUUUCCUCCUUUUCCCUUUGCAAUUAGCGCAUGUUUAAUUUAAAGUAAUUGAGAUUUGAAUGAGAAAUAAGAUAUAUUUGCUUGGAUUAAGAGAUUGAUACUUCGAUUUUCAUUUCGGGAAUAUUAAAAUUCCUCAAAAAUGAAGUCAAUAAGUUCAAAUUUGAACAAUAAAUUUAAAUGUUGAAUCUUAAUUUGAACAUAAUUACGAUUUCAAAUUCUUUUUCAACCAAAUGUGCUUUUAAUGUGGGACAAAGUUGGUCAAAUUCGAGGGACGUGUCCUUACAACUUUGAAUGCAGUAGCUUGAUCAAUCCCCUCCUACAAGCACCCACAAGUCUCGGUCGAAGCAGUGUGAAUUUGAAUGGCUCCAUCGGGUCCAAUCAACUUGACCCGAACUAGGACUAUUGACCCGAACCCGUUUGAGAAUUUCCUAUUGUUUUUUGCAUUGUCCUUACCAUGCAAAUACCAAAUAUUUUCCUACCUUAACGGCCUAUAAAAAAACCCGUCUCAUUGUAUAGUUCCCUAUCAAAUUUUGUAUCCUGAAUCAAAACGUGAGAGAUACACAAGCAAAAAAAAAAUGGCAAAAGGGUGUAAUGCCAUGGAAGUGAUGCUAGUACUCAUAUUGUUGAUAUGUAGCCCAUACUCUCUGUCGAUGGCGAGGCCGUUAGAGAUCACCGGAGGUAAUCUGGGAGUGUUCGAGUCUAUUCUGCAAGGACAAGUCCCUUCAACGGGGCACUCGGGAUGCACCAGUGACUCCAACAGUAAGAACGGAUUUUGUCCGAAUCCGCCUCGCGUCGGAGACGAUCUGGGUGUAGUGUUUGAGUCUCUUCAACAAGGACUAGUUCCGCCAAUGGGGCCCUUGGACUGCACCAGUAACCCCGCAAGUAAGGGUGGGUUUUGCCCGAACCCACCGCGAGGUUAAACGCGAUUUGCUAACACAAUAUUGAUGAUUUGUGGGAAAGGGUGCAACUCCUAUUUUAAUAAAUAAACAUAGGGGGUUAAUUAGAUCGAAUAACAAAGCAUGUGUGACAUGCUCAGUGUCCGUGGAUUGUUUAUUUGUUUCUUUUUUAUCAUAAGGUGUAUUAUUUAUCUCAAGUGCAUUUACCUAGCUCAAUAGUCCAAACACAAUUGGAACCAUUUCUUUUUUACUUUUUUUUUUCUUUGUAUUUUGAAAGUUGUGUGUUAUGCGCGCAACCGUCCGGUCCCCAUGCAUCAUACUAUGUUUAUGUCAUAGUGGUUUUUAUAAUAGCACUUUAACUUCUUAAUUAAUUAUCAUUCUCGCAUAUAAACCAGUUUUGACACACGCUUGCGAUCACAAAAUUCUUAUUUAAUAUGGAGUGUCGAGUAAGAAUCACCCGUAACUAAGUUUCAUUUUGCGGAUUAAAGUAGAGUGUGGCACUAUAUAUAAGUGUAUUUUUUUUUUUUUUUUUUUUUUUUUUUUUUUUUGAAAAAUAGGUAGCAAGCUACCUGCUUCAUUCAUUAAGCAAAAUGAAUUUAGCAUACAAUUUGGAAGCAGCUAGGACCUCCGAACCGAGGGAAUAAGAGAAAAAAACAAGAGAACAAACACCAGGUCCGUGAGACCCAGGAAACACGAGCAAACCAAAAUAAACAAAAAAAACAAAGGGAAAUCAGAGGGCAGCGCAACGGGGCCGGGAAAGAUUCAAAGUGCUUCGUUCCAGGUUUCGAUCAAAACAGAAACACGUUCGAGAGCCCUGCAAACAUUAAGGGGCACGUCGCGGAAGCAAAUGCCGUUACGCUCCGUCCAGACAACCCACCAAAUUGCCGCCAACUUGAUUAAAAUUUUUGAUCUUGUAUAUAUAAGUGUAUUCUUAGUUGCCAAUGCAAUUUGGAAGAGGAUGUUCAAGCCCUAAAAUAUGAACCCUUAACCUCACCCAACAAGUCAUUCUUGAGAUAAAUUAAUGAGAUCGAAGAAGAAGUUCCUCUCAAGAUCGGGGAGGAGGCUGCAUGCAGCAGCUCGGGAAGAAGCAACUCCUCAUUAACGAAAGUUCUAAUGAUUUGAUACUAUUAGAAGUAUUGUAGCUCAGUUAUAACACAUCAUUCGUUGCCUCAAAAGCAGAUUACGGUGUCGCAGCUAAUGACUGCACUUUUCAAUCUCAUUUCAUACUAGGACAAAUUUUCUUUUCUCGAACGGAAUCCUGGAUGCGCCAGCUAAAUAGUGAACUAUUACAUCCUGAGACGGUUUCAAAUGAAAGGAAGCGAAAGAAAACCGAUUCUUAUGGAGAGGAUUAAUAUUGCCUCUCUUUUUCAGUUGAAGGAUGCAAUUCUCAGUAGGAUCGAGCAAAGAAUUGCGGCUUGGCGUUUAUUUUUCUAUUUUUUUUAAAAAAAAUAGAAUUUCCAUAUACAGUGUAUUACUUGAAAUUCUUUUAUUCAAGAUAUUUAUUUGGUAACAAAGAGUAUAAAACUUGGAAACAAUUUUUUUUUUGCCUCCGAAAUUCUUUAAAAGAAGUUUUCAUCUAUCACUUGGAUUGGUGCAUCGCAAACUAAUGAAUAAUGAUAAUAAAAGAAAAUUCCUUCUAUCAAUAUAUGAAAUUAUAUAGAAUUAGUGUGUUUAGAAUAUAAAAAAUAACAACGAUGCCAAAUAAGACCUAAGUCUACAAUCGAAUAAAAAGAGAGAUGAUAAGAUUUGCAAGAAAAGGUGACUUUUGAGUAGAAGAAUUGUAGGAUUAUAACCCACUUUAGAUUGUUGCUCAUUUAAGGCCCCGUUUGGAUACUCCUGAACUAUGCUACGGCGGUAGGAAAAACAUCCUAUGAAGCGUUUGGGAGGAAAAAAAAGUAACGUAAUUUUUGAAGUAUAGUUAAACUAUACUCCAAAAAAUGGAGUAAAAGUAUAAUCCACUCUAACCAAAGGAAAAAAAUUCCACCACUCUUGAGCUCCCUUAUUCAAAAAAAUGCAUCAAGUUCUAACUUUUAAAUUUCAACAUAAAAUUUUAAAUUUCAACAUAGAUUUUAAAUUUCAACAUAGAUUUAAAAUUUAAAAUUUGAAAUUUGAAAUAUCACAUUUGAAAUUUUAAAUUAAAAUUUUAAAUUUUAAAUUUUAAAUUUUUAAAUUUCAAACUUUAAAUUUUAAAUUUCAAAUUUCAAAUUUAAAUUUCAAUUUAAAUUUCAAUUUUAAAUUUCAAAUUUAAAUUUCAAAUUAAUCCUUCAAAUUUCAAAAUUUAAAUUUUCAAAUUUCAAAUUUAAAUUUCAAAUUUAAAUUUUAAAUUUAUUUUUUUUAAUUUAAAAUUUAAAAUUAAAAUCUAAAUUUAAAAUUUUAAAUUUUAAAUUUAAAUUUUAUUUUUUUUUUAAUAAAAUUUCAAAUAUAAAUUUUAAAUUUAAAUUUUAAAUUUUAAAUUUCAAACUUUAAAUUUUAAAUUUUAAUUUAAAAUUUAAAAUUUAAAAUUUAAAUUUCAAUUUCAAAUUUUAAAUUUGAAAUUUCAAAUCUCAAGUCUUAUAGUUCAAAUUUCAAAUUCUAAACUUUAAAUUUUAAAUUUAUUUUUUAAACUUUAAAUUUUAAAUUUAUUUUUUAAAUUUAAAAUUCUAAAUUUCAAUUUUCAAAUUUUAAAUUUUAAAUUUUUUAUUUUAAAAUUUUAAAUUUAAAAUUUUAAAAAUUUAAAAAUUAAAUUUAGAUUUUUAAAUUUUAAAUUUUAAAUUUGUAAAUUUAAAAUUUGAAAAUUUAAAAUUUAAAAUUCAAAAUUCAAAAUUUCACAUUUCACAUAUCAAAUUUUAAAUUUUAAAUUUUUUUUGAAAUUUUAAAUUUUAACUUUUAAUCUUAAAAUUUAGAAAAAUUCUGUGAAAUUGUACAAUGCGUAUCCAAACAGUUUAAAAAUUAAAUCCGUGGAAUUUUUUUAGAGUUGCAGGAUUCUCUAUUUUAUCUAGGCCGAAACCACAGUUUAUAAAUUCCGUGGAGAUAUUUUACUGUGUAUCCAAACAGACCCUAAGAAUGAGGCUUUAGUGGGAAUCUUACACAGUUUUAGACUAAAUUAUAAAAAGCUCCCCCGCACUUUAGGCCCAAUCUCAAUACACUCCUAUAUUAAAAAUUAUAUUAUUUAUCCUUCUACACUUAGUCACCAUCUCAAAUAGAUCUAAACAAUUUGAAGAAUAGGCAAAUAAGAAUGUAAAACUUUGUUAAAACGAGUUAACAUAUUAUAUUAUUCUACAUCUCAAUAUAUAUCUAAUUUUGAAACUCAACAAGUAUAUAAAAAUUUAAAAAAAGGAGAUAUUUUAUUUUUCUAAUACUAUAAAAAUUGAUAGUUUCUUGAGCAAUUUAUUUAAUUAUACCAAAAUUAUUUUUAUAAGGUUUUAUAGUUAACUUCAAUAAUUACUCAAAAUAGCUGGAUCUAUUUAAUGUAAUAAUAAAAUAGAGGGGAUAAUUUAUGUAUUUUUAUGUGGAGGGGUAAUUGAAAUAAGCGUGGCAAUCCAAAGAGUUUUUAUUUUUAUGUUAGCCAUAUAGAGUUAGACUCCUGCGCUUUCGAAAGUAAGGAGGCUUAUACUUAUAAGCUGUUUUUAAUAUUGGGAUCGAUUUUGUUAGACAUAAUCUACAAUGUUGGAAUUAUCUGGAAACUAAAUUUUAUAAUUUUUUGAUUUCGUUUACCUAGGGAAGGAGCAACCUAAAAAAUAAACGAAUAAAAAUAAACAUUUCAUAAAAAAAGUGAUAAAAGACUCAAAUUACAAAUCAGAAUUAUUGAUCUUAUAUUUGAUGUUAAGUAGAAUUUUCUAUUAAAAAUUCAUGUAAUUUGAAUUAAUUUAGAUUGUUUUCCAUUGUUGAGCUUAAAAAUGUGCCACAUCGAUCAAUCGUUAAAAUAGUUAUUUAUAAAAUUCUUUGAUCACUUAAUAAAUGAUAUUAAAAAAUUAUAAAAUUUAAUUUCUAAAUAAUUCUAAUAUUGUAUAUCAUGUCUAAUACAACAUAUUGUUGAAUUGAGUAUCUUAUCAUCAAAAAUAACUUAUAAUCAUGAAAAACCUGUGUGCUUUUAAAAUCACGGGAGAGCUAGCGUACUACUCUAGCCAAAUGUUUACCUAAAAACUAGGAAAAAUUUCAAAUACCACCCCUGUAAUUUCAUAUUUUCUUACUUUAGCAUCCUAUGGUUUAAAGUGUAUCAAUUUAGUGCCAUGUGAUUUCAUUUUUAUUUUUUUAUUAUCGAUUCUACUAAUUUUUUUCAUUAAAUCAGUGACAAAAUUAAAACUAAAGGGUAUUAAAGUGAAUAUUCGAUAAAUCUAGAUGCAGUAUUUGAAGUUUUUUAUAUAUAAUUUAAUAAAAUAUUAACAAAAAUACUGACGAAAAGAUAGAAAUAAAACCACAUGACGCUAAUUUGAUACACUUAAAUCAUAUGGUACUAAAGUCAGAAACUACGAAACUACAGGGUUGGUAUUUGAAGUUUACCCUAAAAACUAUAAUUCAAAAAUCCAACGGUCGACUCCGUGGGCGCGGAAACUCCAGCAAAAGCAGAUAUUGAAAGCAGAGUUAGACCUCCCGGCAAUUUCUGUGGGCGCCGCUAAUUAACAUCCCCUCCCCUCCAUACUCCAAUUCUAUAAAGAUCGAGCUUCUCCACCCAUCCAAUUUCUCACGCUUGAUAAUAAUAAUAAUAAUAAUAAUAAUAAUAAUAAUAAUUAUAAUGGUGAUGGGGUUGGGAUUUCGCUGCGCCCUCGCCGUCCUCUCUCUUCUCUUCGUCGUCUCCCUCACGCUCGUUCUCCGCGAGGAGACGAGCGGUGGGCCCGUCGCCUUCGACCCCGCGAGGGUCACCCAGGUCUCGUGGAAGCCCAGGUUUCAGUUCUCCAAUCUCUUCUCUCUUUUGUUCGAGUUUUUUAUCUUGACAUUAUCGGAUAGGAAAGAAAUUAUAAUUUGUUAAAUGUCCCUCCAAAUUUGAUUGCAGUUUAAUUUGCAGUGCGAUAAAUUUUUUAAAAAAAGUGUGAAGAAAAAAAAUAGACAUUUGUAGCAGUUAGCAUCAACCUGAGCCCGUUAAAAAACUCCUUUCUUCUUUUCACUGUAGAGACGAUACAGCGUAUUGUACUUCCACAAUAUUGUGAAGUUUUCUAUUUUUUCGUUUGUAAUUUUUUUUUUUGCAAAAAAAUUUUCACGUAAAUCUUUAUGUUCCAUUUUAUUUUAUUAUCUCGUAGUUUGUCCACAUUGCGAUCGUCAUUUUUCAUUUCUGUUUGUACGCUCAUCGUAAUAUAAUUAAAAAUAUAAGGAUUAUAGAUUGGGCUUAAAUAUUUUGAGCCAAUAGUUCGUGACUAUAUUUUCGAUAAUAGUUGUGAAGCCAUUUUAAAAUUUUAAAAAAAUUUAGAUUUUUUUUUUUUUUUUUUUUUUUUUUGUGCAGGGUUUUCUUGUAUAAGAGGUUUCUUUCUGAUGAAGAGUGCGACCACCUGAUCAAGUUGGUAUGUGGAUUAACUUAUUUUUGAUGCACCUCAACUUACUUAUAGGCUAUUCUGAAAUAAGCUUCUGAACAUUAUAUUUAUUUUUAUUUUUUUAAUGAUAUCAUUUGUUUUAAUUGCUUUUACUUAAUAUUGUGCCUAGAAGAUGAAUUGAAAUUUCCGUUUAGUUUGAGAAUGUUGGUUUGAAAUAACUCAAAUUAAAAGAAACAAAAGUUGAGGGGUGCUGAAAAACAAACAGAAGCAGAAUUUGAGGGUAUAUUUCAAAAAUACGCUAUAGUUGAAGAACCGGUUCUUCAUACAUUUUUACAUCAAUCUCUCUUAUAUGUCCUCACUUUACUUAUUCUUGAUUCGGUUUGGAUUAUGAGUAGGCAAAGAGUAAGCUGGCGAAAUCGAUGGUCGCGGAUAAUGAGUCGGGGAAGAGUGUGAUGAGCAAUGUUCGGACGAGCUCCGGCAUGUUCUUGAUGAAGCGUCAGGUAUUUCUCCGAUUACCGGAUUUACAUCAAGAGAGAGAUUCAGGGUUGAUGUUACAAAAUACCAAAAUUGAAGUUCAACAUGUGCAGAAAAUGUCUGACGAAUUUUUCAGCAUAGUAAUACCGACAGAUUCGCUAAAUCGUAUCACAACAAUUGAUAAAACAGGAUUAAGAAAAAUGAGAAUAACACCCCUUUCCAUGCAGGACGCAAUUGUCGCCAGAAUUGAGCAAAGAAUCGCUGCCUGGACCUUCCUGCCCGAAGGUAAUUCAUAUGAAUUUCUGUUCCUACUGACCGACAGAUUCCUAUUAACUUUUUCUUUUUUAAAAAAAUUUUCUACCUAACACAUUCUGAAAUCAGAAAAUGCCGAGCCCAUUCAAGUGCUGCGGUACGGAAUCGGUCAGAAGUACGAGCCACAUUUCGAUUAUUUUUAUGACCAAAUAAAUCAAGUACGCGGUGGUCAUCGCGCAGCGACAGUGCUUAUGUAUCUAUCUGACGUAGAAAAGGGCGGGGAGACGGUCUUUCCUAAUGCUGAGGUGCGUAAAUUUCGUUACUUAAACCGUCGUCUAUGCUAAGUUAAGAUCACGCAUCGUAAGUGGUUGUGAUUAUUAUUUCUAGGGAUGGGAAUCUCAACCUAAGGACGACUCUUGGUCCGAUUGUGCAAGAGGCGGUUAUGCAGGUAAGUUUCAUCUUAUGUUUUGAAAAGAACAUGUUUCUCAAGCUAUAAUACAUCUUAGUGGAAAAGCAUUUUCUGCGACGAGAAGCUGAAAUGAACUUUUCAGUAUUCGUUUUAGUAUUCCUUUCAGCACUCAAAUUAGUUAUCUCUGCUGCAGUAAAACCUACCAAGGGCGAUGCGGUUCUCUUCUUUAGCCUUAACAUCGACAGCACGACAGACCCACACAGUUUGCAUGGGAGCUGCCCGGUAAUAGAAGGCGAGAAAUGGUCUGCACCGAAAUGGAUUCAUGUGAGAUCCUACGACAAAUUGGAGAUGAACAUCAACUCUGGCAGGAGCAGGAAAUGCUCUGAUGAGAAUGUGAUGUGCCCACAGUGGGCAGCUGCAGGGGAGUGUCUGAAGAACUCUCUGUACAUGGUCGGAAUCAACGAUACGCACGGAUUUUGUCGCAAGAGUUGUGGAAUAUGUGACUCAUAGUAAUUGUAAAUUCUUUUUUCUUUUUUUUUUUCCUUUCUCUACUUGAGAUGCACAUAUUGGUGUAACUCAUUUUGCAGUUAUUAUAUCAUCAUCUAAAAUGUAUGCUGAGGUUUUCUAUGUUUUCAUCGAAAACCAAAUGGCUUGGCGAUUAAAUAGAAAAUCCAAACAAUAAGAGAUUAUACAUGUGGUGAUGGUGAUUGCAUUGGAUUGCUUGUUCAAAUGAAGUUUUAACACUUAUCUUCAUGCAGUACUGCUAUCCACUGGAAGUAGAUUGCAUUUUAAAGCAUAUCUAUUUUACCAUCACAUAUUAUUUGAUUAACUUUCUUAUUUUGAAUACCCCUUUUUAUAAGAAAUUUCUGCAUUACUAGGAGCAUAGUUUUAAUUAAAGAUUUUGCUUUUUAAGUGGAUCAAAUUCUCAUUCAACUUCCCUAUCAAACUAUGUAUCCCUAAGUUUCGUCGUCAUGUACUUAAUUUCUGCUUCUCGAAUAGAGGAAUUGCUAAGAAAAUCGAUUCAGAUAGGUAUUUAGGAACUCAAAAUUGUUGAAAGGGAAGAUCCAAAUCUGAAACUUAACUGAAAUAUUAAGGCGAAGAAAACAGUUUCAGAUUGAAAGAAAACCUUCACUAAUAUUUUCUGAGCACACUCAACUUUUUCUAGGAUUUGCUACNAAAAAAAAAAAAAAAAAAAGGUGGCUCAGAUUCCCUGUAAGCCAACCCAUAAUUGCCUGUAGAAUAUGUUCUCUUCUUUAGUGGCCAAAACAUCCUAUACCUCAAUCCUUUUUUUUUUCUUUUUCACUUUCCCAAUAAGUUCAUUGAGUAAAGGUGCAGGGUUGCAUUACCAAAUGAAGCCUUGAAGGCAUAAUCUGAUCUGUUCAUCUUAGUUUAAUGUAUAGAGAAUUGGAUAGUGAUUUUAAGAAUAAUUCAGGUUACUGAUCGUCCCUUUAGCAAGUGGCAAAGGGCUUGGUGGUUGAUACCUGACAUCCCAAGUUCGAAUCCUAGUUGAUUUAUAUUUCUACCUAAGUUUAUUUCUAAAUGAAAUAAACGAAGCGGGUAACGUGAUACCUAUCUCUCCAAAAAAAAAAAGAAUAAUAAUUUAGAUUGUUUAUUAUUAUAAAAACAAAAACUAAGGAAAAGGAUAUACAAGUUGAUAUUUUAAGGCUUUGUUCGUUAUUAUAUUCGGCUCCUGAGUUUGACAUGACUAGUCUAUUUAGCAUUAAUAAUUUGUCGGGUUAAAUAUUGACAGAAAAUGCUUAAGUUCAAGUUACUAAUUAUAUGUUAAUGCACAAGUAAGAUAGAAUGAGUGGGUUGUUUUUGUUCUAAAAGGAAAAAAUAAAAAAAGACCUUUUAAGAUUUGCAUUUAUGGAUCAUGGAACCUUGAUCCCCUAUUUUAAGCAAAAGCAAAGAUGAAGGCUAAUAACAGCAUGGAACUUUAUUCUAUUAUUAUUCUCUUACUUUUGAGCUGAUAACUAAAAUUAUUUAUGAACAUAUCUUUUGGUCUAACUACAAAAAGGAUCACUAUUUAUAAUUAUUCUUCUCAUUAUGAGAAAAUCAAAUUAACUAAACAACAAUAAUAUGCUCAUAAAGAACAUAAAGUAGAUGAAAGAGAAUAUAUGGGAGAGAAAUUAAAAAAAAAAAGCCAUAUAAAUUAAUUACUUGAAUUUUUUUUUUUUUAAGUCAUCUGGUUUAUAAUACACAUUAUGAUAUUAGAAUUGCAAUUUGGGUCCAUGCUAUUGCCAACCACAUACAUGUCAACCAAAGCCCUGCACGAAAUAGAUUAUAAAAAAAUCAUUUAUUAGCUACAAUUCAUGAUAGAAUUUUGGUAAAAAUGUAUGAAGACCCAUCAACUUUAUGCAGUUCUGAAAUAGCCCCUUGCCCUAUGAUUUUCUAGCUGAUUGAACCCCCUCUCAACUUUUGAUUUUUUUUUACCAAGUUAAUUAACAAGAACUGUGAUUUUUUGAUUCAGACCCCCUCCAUAGAAUCGAGUGAUUUUAGCUAAAUAAAUAAAAAAUUUACCAAAGUGAUCGGUAAUUUUAUCAAAUUUAAUAGUUUAAACUAAUUUAUAGAGAAUAAAACUGGAUUAUAUAAACUGCUUAUAACUAAUUCAAUCAUGAAAUUCAACAAAACUGUUUAACUAAAUUGACUACAGAAACUCAAACUAAAUUAAUACAGAAAUUAAAGAGUGUCAAUCAAAACAAUUAAAAUUGGGAGCUCUAUUUCAUNAAAUUAAAUUUCAUAAUUUUUCGGUAUCAUUAACCUAUCAAACGAGUAGUCUAAAAAUGAACGGCUGAAAAUAAAAAUCUCAUAAAAAUGAUGAUAGAAAACUUGAAUUUAAGAUCAGGGCUACUGAUCUUACUCUAAAUAGUAAAAAAAAAAAUUUAUAAAAAUUUCAUCUGAUUUGAAUUAUUUUACGCCGUUAUAUUUACAAAUGUAUCACAUCUACCAUUAAAAUUGUCAAUUUUGAGACCUUUUGAUCACUAGCCAAAUGAUGUCGAAAAAUUUUGAGAUUUAGUUUCCAAAUACUUUCAAUAGUAUAGAUCAAGUCUAACGGAGCCGAUCGUUGAUUUGAAAGCCGCAUCAUCGAAAACAACUUAAUAGCACGGAAGGCUCAAUUUGAAGUCCAGCUCAAAGGAAGGCUCAAUUUGAAGUGAUCAAGAAUUAGCAAAUAAGAGCUAAUAUAGAGAAAUAUGCCACGAGUAAUAAACAUAUAAUAGAUUAGAAAUUUGACAUGGCUCAAAAGUUUAGAGUCCCAAAAAAAAAUAUUGGAAAAUUCAGUUAAUAAAAUAAAAUUAGAAUGAACUAAUUAAGAGCAUAUAAAAGUACAAAAUUAAUUCUCAGACGCAAUUAUUCAGAUUUUUAUUAAAUUAAGUACUAAUGUGAAAUUGGUAGGUAAAACAUGAUAUGAAAUGGUGAUUUAACCCAUGUGAAAUGUGACACCACCUUAUAGUCGGUUGGGGAUUAAGAAUUUAUGACUUCAGUACAAGAAAUAUUUAUUAGUAAUUAAGUAUUGAUAACUAAUUUAUGUAACUAUUCUGGAUAAUCAAAUAUUUGCGAACUAUUUGUGAAUUUUAAUUUUUUUUUAAAAAAAAAUUGAAAAUAUUUUGUUACUAUAGUAUAUCUUGAAUAUAAAAUAUAAAAAUACUAUUAUUUAAUAACAGCAUAAAUUAUUAAAAUAUAAUAAUUAUUUUACAUAAUUUAAUGUAAUAUCGGAGUAGAAAGUUCUGAAUUAGUAAGCUCUUACCGAGCGGCAAAAUACGGCGGCGAGCGCCACCGCUGCUCCACGAGGCGGCGGAGGCGGCGAAGUAGCAAUUCGUGGACGAGUUCAUGCCGUUGCCGCAGCUGCAGGCGAACGAGUUGUACACCGCGGCGGUGGCGGUGGCGGUGGCGGUGGCGGCGGUGGCGUAGCCGCACAUGCCGCCGCUCUUCUCGCAGUCGGCGCAGGCGCUGGGGAAGCCGUCGUCGGCGCUGAACCUGUACUUGAGCGCGAUCCCGAAGUCCCACUCGUCCGGCCUCGUCUCGGCGCCGUUGAAGCCGCGCACGGCCGCGUAGGACGCGCAGCGGAGCUGGGUCAGGUCGACGUCGAACGCGGGGCCGAGGCUCGCGGGCGCGUAGACGCAGCAGGUGGACACGGGGGCGCCGAGCGCGGCGACGGCGGGGCACGUGUAGAGGAGCCCGCAUAUGGAGGAGGAGGAGGAGGUGUCGCAGAGGGUGGCGUUGAGGGUGGGGGUAGGGAAGCAGUCGAGGAGGGCGAAGACGUUGCGGGCGUCGGCGAAGGCGAAGGGGGCGUCCCAGUCGAGGGAGAAGCCGCGGGAGGGGUUGGUGGCGGAGCAGGUGGACAUGGAGGGGUCGGAGACGUAGAGGAUUUGGUUGGCGUAGUCGACGGCGUCGACGGGGUAGGAGCCGGAGCGGGUGGUGAAGGUGAGCUGGUCCUGGUGGCCGCCGCCGGCGCAGGCGACGUGGGCGGACGAAGAGGAGGCGGCGCCGAGCAGGACAAGGAGGAGGAAUUUGGUGAGAGAGGGUGGAGCCAUGGCAGUGUUUCUUUUUUGCAUGGGGGGGUGACGAGAGGGAUAUAUAUGCAUAUGAAGGGGAAGGGGAAGGGGAAGGGGACAGGGGAGUAUGUUAUAUGUAUGUGCUUGUGUAAUAGUUUGAUGUGCAUUUGUUUGCUAUUUUUCUCUACGUGCUAAAAUACAGGAACUUUUUUAGAAAAACUUCAAAAUAUUACUCUUGUAGUUUAGCAUUCCUCCCCUUUACUAUUUUAUGAUUUAAAGUGUGUCAUUUUAGUACUUGUGAUUUUAAUUUUCUCUUUCCAUCAACACAUUAACUCUUUAUUAAAAUAUGUAUAAAAUAGUUCAGAAAUUCUUACCAAAUAUUAACUUUAAUACUUUGUAAUUUACGAAAUUUUUACUUUACUAUCCUAUAAUUUUAACUUUCUCACUAAUUUAAAGAAAAAAAUAAACAUAGAGGAUAAAAACAAAACAACAUAGUACUAAUUAAAAUAAUACAAUUUAAACCACAGGAUAACAAAGAAAGAAACUACUAAACCACAAGGAUGGUAUUUGAAAUUUUUGCAUACUCCCCUUCCCCUUCCCUAUGUAAUAUAUACAUUUGAAGUAUGUUCUUUUUGCAUGUGGUUUAUCAAAUAUUCACUUUAAUACUCUGUAAUUUACGAAAUUUUUAUUUAUUAUCCUAUAAUUUUAACUUUCUCGCUAAUUUAAGAAAAAAAUUAACAGAGUGGAUAAAAACAAAACAGCAUAGUACUAAUUAAAGUAAUACAGUUUAAACCACAGGAUAACAAANGAUUUUUUAAUAUAUUUUUGUUAUUUAUUAGAAUAUUAAUUUUUGGUAUAAAUUAUAAGAAAUGUAUAUAAUAGUAACAUAAUUAUGAAGAGGGGGGGAGCUAAAUGUAUUAUUUUAAAAUUUUGAGGGAAUAAAAUAUAAAAUUUUGAAAGUGAGAGAGAAAAAGUAAGAGAAUGUGAGAGAAUGUGAGGUAUUCAUGGAUGGAUUUUUAUUUUUUAGGCUAAAUUACGUAAAAUCUUUCUGUCAAAAUUUGAUUUUUUACUUUUUCUCCAUGUCAUUUAAAAAACCUACACUUUGUCCCCUUGUAAAAUGAAAAAUAUUUAUAGGAGGAUACGGUGUGGACUGUGAUGAUAAAAUGACCAUUUUGCCCCUUACCAUUUUCGUCUUCUCUCUCAUCUUCCUCAACAUCAGUCUCGAUCGGCAGCGGUUCAAGCCUCGAUCGGCCGCGAUUUCUCUGCGGUUCACGCAUCAUCUUCCUCCUGCAUCCUCGCCGCCCCUCGAUUUCGGCGACAGUAGGGUGGAAAUCGAGGUGGGGGUGGAUGGAGAGGUGGGUAAUGAUAAUGAGGGCGAAGGCGAGGCGGCGGAGGAGGGCGAAGGGGUAUUUGUGGAUACGGACGGGAAUGUGGGCAAGGGCGAGACAGUAGAGGAGGGCGAGGCGGAGAAAGGCGAAGCAACAGGAAAAAAAAGCAGAGGGGCAUUUUGGACAUAAAAAAAUAUUUUAUAACGGAACCCUAACGGAUCACUAACGGUUGGAGCAAAGUGCACCUUUUUUAUUUUACAAGAGGGCAAAAUGUAGAUUUUUAAAAGACGGGAUGGAUAGUGAAAAAUUACGUUUUGAUGGAUUUUUUUUAUAAUUUAGCCUAUUUUUUAAGCCAUUAUUCUAGCUCUUUACCGAAGAGCUAGUUAAUUAGCUAGUUAUCUGCACCACAGAUAUGAAGAAUUUUUUUUUUACGAUCUCUGGAAACUAAAGGAGGUUGAGGCUAAAUCUGAUAUUAUAUAAUCAAAAAAUAGUUAAAUAGAAAACAAUCAAAAAAUUUAUCUUACUAAUAAAAUUAUAUAUAAUACGUUCUCUAAUUGUCGAUCAAGGCGUUACUCAAAAUAUAUAUAUAUGUACGCGCGGAAAUUGCACACAAAUGCACACAAAUCGUAACGGUGAGAUCUGUACCAUUAAUUAAUUAAUUAUUCGUGUCAAAACAUGUUGCACCCACAUGCAUGCAAAUUAGUGGUCACCUCCCCUAGAACAGCACGUUUAUUAAAGCCAAUCAUAGCCUAUAUAUAUAUUCCUACUCCCGUGUUCGUAGUCCCGUCCCCUCCUCCUCCUCUCUCUCUCUCUCUCUCUCUCGUUUUAAGAUUGUUAAAAUUAUAUACGUGAGUUGUUGAUGAUUUUUUGGUUAUAAGAAUUGUAUAUAGGUAGCCGUGGAAAUAGAGAUAUAAUUUUUUUUUUUUUUGAGAUUAGUAAACAAAAAGUCCGGGGAAUCUAUUCCUCUCUUGUUCCUCUCCUAUGUUUGGUAUGAAUUGAAAAAGACUUUUAUUAUUGUUUUCUAAAUUUUAUUUUAAAAUAAAUGUAGAUUCGAUAAGUCAAAUUGACUUACGGAGAGUUCUAGUCUAACCCAGACCUAUAUAUGGUUUAAAGAUGUGCUGUAUCUAAUAAAGUUCAUCCCAUCUAAAGUGUAUAUAAAUAAUUUACUCCCUGAUUAAUUAUUCAGCGUGAGUAGCAAUUCGUAUAUGAAAUCCUAGCAAACAAAAUCCACGAAAAUAGCAAAAUGAAAUCUACACUCUUUGAUUUCUAGAGGGAUAUAAUAUUCAUUAAUUUCAACUGCUUGAUGAAACCUCACAAGCCAAAGUUUUAAAAACUAAUCAUUAAUGGCUGUUUUAGUGGUUUCACUAACAUGGAAUUAGUCUACUAAACCCGGUCUUAAGCCCUUUGAAGCUCGCGAGAUAGUGUUUACAGUACCGUCAUUUUUGCGGUAUGGAUGCAUAGCCCAUCUGAUCUCCGCUACGCGCACAUAAGCAGAUAUGUUAAGACUAUUCCGAGACAAUUUUCUAUCAGAUUAAUUUGGAAUUAUCUUUUAGCGAAACUAGUGAGAUUAGAUGAUAACUAAUCUUUCUCUUAAAUGUCUUUGGAAUUCAAUAAAAACCAUCACACCAAGCCAAACUUCUUUGAUCUACUCAAGAACACACCUUGCAACUCUUCCUGCAGUAACCCUGAGACUCCUCAGUGCCUACCAUGUACUCAGGAUUCUUCUCACACUCGCCUUUCGCGGCCCAUCGCGCGCAGGACUCGUUCUCAUCUUCGCAUUCCUUGCUCCGUCUACUCGACGAGAGAAAACUGAAGGGUGUCAAAUGGAUCCAUUUCGUCGCAGUCCACUUCUCCCCUGCUAUUACUGGGCAGCUCCCAUGCAUACUUGAUCCAUCCAAAGUGCCGUUCGGAUGCAGGCUGAAGAACAACACGGCAUCGCCUUUCUUCGGUUUCACUGAAAUAAGCUCAUCAAACACUAUCUCAAUACGAUUUCAAAAUAAAAGUUUCUGAACUUCGAUGAACUUAAACAAGUUAUUUAGUACUGGAAAAGUUUUAACACAGUUGCAUUCUUCGUGGUUUAGUGGUUGGUAAUAGAAUUUGCUCGUAAAUUCUUUACCUGAAAAACCUGUUGAAGCACAGAAAGCGAGAGAAUCACCUUUCCUUUGUCGAUUCGCCUGCAACAAAAUGCGCGGAAAAUGGUUUAGAUGAAGAUGAUAGCUUGAUUAGUUCUUUACUAGAAGAUCGCCUUCUGUACCGCUGCUUUCGUGAAGACUGUCUCCCCGCCUUGUGCAACAUUAGCUAGGUACAUGAGUACUGUCGCGACUCGAUUUCCCUUUUUGUUCCCUUUUACAUCUUUAAAGUAAUCGACGUGCGGCACAAACAGUUGGCCCUUCUCGUAACGGAGUAUUUGUAUGGCCUCGCCGUUCUCUAGCGCGGGGAGUAUAAAGGUUUUGUUAUCAAGCAACAAAACAAUUACAAACUUGUUUAAUUGAAUACAUGCUGUAGUAAAUUUACCUACUGGGAGGAAGGUCCAAGCAGCGACUCUGCUCUCAACUCGACGAACAAUUUCAUCCUUGGAAAUGCAGAGGAAAAUGAUGAUAGUCUACACCUUAGACAUGGUAAAUUCGCAAGCUACUUGCUGCUCUUGAUAAUCACAUUAUAAAAUGGCUCAUCGACGUGGCGAAGAACACGAAAUACAGGAUUGAAUGAUGAGAGAUUAUGGAUUCACUAGCAGAUGCUUUAUAUAUCCAGCUGACGAAAUCGAUGUUUUGGUUACGAGAUCAGUGCAUUAGGCAUUCUAAAGGGCGCAGAACAUGAAUGAUAUACCGGCAUUUGGUUAGCCGAUAACAACCAUGUUCGCGAUGAGAAAUAGCACGAGCGCCAUCUAAGUGUAUCUUUGGCGACCAAUGAAAACACUAUUUGCUUACAGCAAAGGAAAAAACAACCAAAAUGAUGUAAACAAUGGAUCAUAAUGACAUCGGAGAAAUUGAGCUAGUAAUUUACCUGACCUGGCUUUAGGAACAUGUCCCAACUAGUUCGCGCGGUGCUAAGCUUGCUCUCACCACCGUAGCCCUCUAUGACUGUAGAUUUUUUAAGCUUACCCUUCGACUGCUCUCGGAAAGCAAACAUAACACAAUCGAAAGUGAAAUUCAAAAUAAGAUAAAGAAUAAUUUCAAAGGGGUCUUAGUUCUUUCAAAUGGCGAUUUAAGAGGGUGUAAUUUGCUGAUGCAUGGUAGUAGUAAAAUGGUAAUAUUACUACAUAGAUUUUCCUGAGAUAUCUAGUAUAAAUAGUUGGGUAGUUUGUGGGUAUGCUGAUAUGUAAUCAUUGAAAUCUUAUGAAAAAUUUAGCAAUAUAAAAGGGAACUUUUCUACCAGGGAGAUGAGGUGAUCGCAUUCCUCGUCGGAGAGAAAGCCCUCAUAGAGAAAAAUCCUGCACCAAAAUGGCAAAUGAAUUAUCAACUUACAUAAAGUGCGAAACGAAAAAAUGCGUGGAGAGGGUUAAAUUAGGUGAUCUUUUAGUUGUUAAACUUUCCAAUUUAAGUUCUGAAGUAAGCCUACAAUAUGAAUUACGCAAAUCGGAAGCCCAAGCUUAAGAUUUCUUCUUUUUUUUUCUUUUUGACUGUAAGAUGCAAGGUGAUUUCAUAUGUCAUUCAUGUAAUCAAUCCAAAUUAGCCCGAAAGAGAUAUAGAUCGAUAGUAGAUAGAUAGAUACAGAAUAAAUCUUCUAAGUAAUACAGCUUAAUUUCAACCAAAAUAGGAUUACUUUUUGCAUAUCCGGGGUCAUCUUUAUUCUUUUGAUUCUGAGCAUAAGCUUUUCUUUUUUUGAUAAUACUGUAAAAAUGCCUUUUGCCAGAGUAUAAGAAAAAAGAUACAGAGGUAUGAUGGAAAAAAGGUUUGUAAUGCAAGUUUUUGCUUACAAAUUACAAACAAUUAGCAAAUAAGGCUUUUGCUUGGCCUAUUUACUGGGAGAUUUUUUAGCUAUGUUCUAUGUACCACCAAUCGACACUUUCGUCAAAAUCUAUUGAAAUAUAUUGAAUGCCAAUUUAGUUUUUAGCUGAGCCUUUUAACUGAUGGUUUUGUCAAUUUUGCGGCAAAAUACGGAAGCAAAUGAACAAUCAAACUUAUCUAACCUUGGUUGCCAUGAGAGUUGGGUGAUAGAUCUUGGAUCUAUGACAUUGUUAUCCCUUCUUUCACCAAUGCCAAUCCUAAAGGUAAUUGAAUAUCCACAGAUAAAGAAGAUAAAGUGUUAAAGAUGUAUAUUAUAAAAGAGCAACACAAAGAGAGGUAUUGUAACAUACACCAAAUUGACUCCUAUUCCUUCAAACAGUUUAAGCCUGAGAGGAGUUGGUGGCAGAGAGAAGAACAGAAGGAAGAGAAAGAUGGAAGGGAGAAGAGAAAGUUUGAAACCCAUUUUUGAUUAAUUAGAAGAGGAGGGUACAUCACAAAGGAGACAAUUAAGUUUUAUUUUUUUUUUUCUACAUUAUCUUCCUAAUUAAUGCCAUUUAGAAGGUUAAAGAGCUACUAGGAGGUUUUAAAUGAGUUCCUUUAAUUCUUUAAUUGUGGUAUCAUUAACUCCAUCAAUAAAAGCAAACAGGAAAUUUCUUAUAUGAAAAGUUGAUGCUGUAUUCUUAGUUUUAUAUUUUCAACAUAUGAUUCUGCAUGUGAGUAUUUUGUAUGUGGAAAUUGAAUUGCACAUUGGCCCAAGUCACACACAUUCUUAUGAUUGCUUAUUUCUUCUGGAAUCUUAAGAUUGAGACAUUAUUUUUAAGAAAAAGGGACCUGCUGUUGACUCCAUUGUGAAUAUGUUUUCAGACACAUUAAUGCUACUGUAUAUCAACUCCCUCUGUCUUACUAAGUUCUUGGUUAGUUUGUUAGUCAGUUUCAAAGGCAGCAACAAUUAACAUUCCAUUGGUUCAAAUUGCUGGAAAUGUGUGGGAACAAUAAGAACUCUUCCACAUUAGCAGCAAAAAGAACCACAAGAAACCUCAUGCAUGACACAAUAUGCGAAGAUCAGAUGAAACAGGGUUUUUUUUUUUUUUUUCUACCAGUGCCCGGUAUGGAUUGGAGACAUUUAACUGUAAAAUCGAUGGUUACCAUUUGUUUUAACGCUGCAAAUUGUUCUGCAAAUUAACUCAGGUUUUAUUGUUGCUAGAUACAAGUGACGCGGCGGAACAAAAAGCUUAGCCAGCUCCUGCAAUGGAACUGUACAUAUUCCUGGUAAACAAUAUAACAAAAUAUCUCUCUUUUUCUGAGAAAAACAUUUAAGAGUUUUAUCAAAACAACCUGCUUAUGGCUAACGAAAGAUUCGUCUUUCACCGACCAAUUUGUAGAGAACAAAGGAAGCAACAAACCAGAAGUUGACCACAUUAGUAGUUUUCCGUUUUCAAGAAAGCAAUCAAACUUAACAUGAAUGUUCGAGAAAGAUAACAACAUUUGAUUUGUAACAACUCUUCAAAUCAUAUAAUGCUUCCUUUUAACCUAACCCUUCCAAGGAGAUUGAUGAAGAAAGGAUAUACUAUAAGCAUCAGAAGAUCAUGCUUAUCAGGUGUCAGAGCCGUCUGCACUAUCAUCGCAUGGAAUUCUUGACUGGAUAAUAACUCGGGCUCCCGACAUAAGCCUGCAGGAGAAAAGAACGAAUGGCAACACCCUAUCAAGAUGUGUACACUGUAUUAAAAUAUAACAAAAGUGUUUAUUAGGCCUAGCAUCUAAAACAGCUUCUUUACUCCAAAAAGUUGAAGAUACAAGUAAUCAGCCACCUGGCUCUUGAAGAACCAAGAACUUUUGCUGUAGCUAAAAUGAUCUUUUGGAUUCGAAAAGCAGACUCAAAUUUGAAAUAUAUGCUUCUGGUACAGCACGAAGUUGGUUAGGAGAUUCAACAAAGUGUUGUUAGUACUUCUUCGAACAUCUCUGCUUAAACAACAAUUCUUUGAAGCCAAAGAAUGGACUUAACUUUCCUCGAUCCUGAUAAGCUUCUCCUUUUCUUCUUUCAAGGAUUCUAACCUCAUGGAUGAUCCAUGAACGGAGGCAGCAUGAGUGAUACUUCUGCUGCUUUCUCCUAUUGAGGAGCGGUCACACUCGGGCCCAACAGACGAGCACCUCGGGCAAUCGGAAAUAGGAGAAGUAAUUUUUUCAUUUUUGGGCUGCUUUGGAGGUGUAAGUUUGAUAGCUCGAGGGAGGCAUCUUGUAACUGAUGUGUCCUCAAUCUCUUCCCCGUGCCUUCUGGACUCCAAUUUGCACUUCCUGCACUUUCUGUAUGUAUUAACUGUUAAUAUGUAACAGAGCACCUCAAAGAAGUUUAAAAAGAUAGAGAACAUGGCAAUAGGAGUGACACAGUAAAUAAGAGAUCUGUAAAGGACACACAAAAAGGAAGAAACACUGAAGAACAACUUCAGCAUAAUAAAUGAUUAUCCUUUAAAUGAUGCUUAGGAGAAUACUAGCGUCGGCACUUAUCAGUACAAUCGUGGCAAGCAUUUAGUUAAUUGCAUUAUUCUCUAAAUUAGAACAUGGGCACUUCAUGAACCAACUCGAUUUACGCUCAUAACGAUGAAGCAUCCAAAUCUGCAUAAAUUGCAAUCAUAGUAGAGCUACGUGAGGAAGCACGAAUAGCUUUCUCAUUAGAAUUUUACUGCAGCUUCCCACUGCAGAACAAGCAGAAGUUUUAAACUGAAGCUUCUGUUUGUUACCCAAAAGUUCAUUUUAGCUUCUACCACAGCAAAAUUUCCAGCCUAGUUAUCAACCAAACACCCAGUUUCUGAAUGCUUGUGCCUUCCAGAUUAGAGAAGCCAUUCUCAAAACCAGGCAGAACUAGCAAAAAAUUACAGUGUUAUGUGGUACUACAUAUUCAGAUAGGCAAAGAGUAAGACCUUACUGAGUGAGCGGCAAAUGUAGGACGUAAUAUGAUAUAAAGACGAGGCUCACCUUUCGGCAUUGUAGGAGGAAGAUCGUUUCAGAACGGGCAUCCUUUCCCCUAUAUCCUCCCGAUGCUUCUUAGUUUCAAUCAAGCUACCACUAAAAUACUCCUUAUCUUCCAAUUUCAAUCCCAUUAAUCUUGGAUCUUUCGAAAGGCAAUCAAGCUCUCCAAGCAUACUCGAGCGAGCAAAUACCGAUGAUUGGAACUUCAUGUGCGAGAAACUUGGCUGGUAAUUUGAGACGAUACCAUAGCUUUCGUGAUCCUUCACGGUGAAAGACCCGCAAGUGAUCAGCUGCAUUAAGAUAUUACCAGGCUUCAUCUUUGGCCCGGUGGGAAUUAGCACUUCCUCCUCUUUGAGUCUUCUAAAGAUGUUCUUGUUUCUAGCAUCCGCCCUAAGCAAAGACUCUAAAGUCUCUGACCUGCUACCAUUCGAAAGUCGAGCAUGAUUAUUGAUAGAAUCAAGAGUCGUCGAGCCAUUGUCAGUAGAAACAACCGUAGUGAGAUUCUCGUUCUCCUUAUCGUGGUGAUCACUUUUUUUAUUUUCGUCAUCAGUUUGAGUUGCUGCGUCCGAAGAACCAAUUGGCCUGUAUACUCUAUACUCCGCCGAACCCGAAGAGACGUACUCUUGAGACGACACUUCUUCUUCUUCUUCUUCCUCCUCUUUUUCAUCUUCUUGAGGAGAAGGCGGAGGGUUGGAUUCUCUAACGACAACAGUAGGAGGAGAGGAGGAAGCAAAAGGAGCUUCUUUGGAUCUAGAAAAUUUGGGUGAUUCUUGCUGGGGGGGUUGCUUUGGGUUUUUCAGUUUUGGGUUCCCGUUGUUUGGAUGAAUCCGAUCUAAACGAACAUGAAACGAAAGAAAACACAUUUGGAUUGUUUAGCUCCAAACCUCUCUUCCUUAUUACUAUCAACAUUGAAUCAAAGGGAACAACACAUGUUACUUUACACAAUUUUUGGAUUACCUGAAGAGGGUUGAUCUAAGAGUUCAGAACCUUUGAGAACAUACUCAUCUCCGUUGGCGGGGAGGACGAGAUCGUCGUGGGAGAGAUCGUGCCACACGAAUCCGUUCUUGUAGCUCCUGCAUUGAUCAAAUUCAUCGUUUUCACACCCAAAACACCAUAAAAAAGGGAUUUUUAUCAUUUGGGCGCUCUCCAUUUUACCUCUUGCACGACCACGAAUACAUGGUGGGCAUUCCCUUUCCCCUCACCAAAUUAAGGCGAUUAAUCACAUCUAAAAAAACCAAAAACAAAAAAAAAAAAAAAACAAUCGAGAUAACAAGACAACAAUCUCUAAUCCGCAUUUCAAAACUAUGAAGAGCCAAACAAUUCGAUCCCCACAAACCUCUGAGAUACAACCCUUCAGGGGAGGAGAGGGGCACCUCAAUGAAAUGCGGGUGCUCGAUGCGUCGAUUCCGACACAAGUAAUACACAACGGGGAUCUUCUUCUUCUUCUUCUUCUUCUUCUUCUCCUCCUCCUCCUCCUCGGGCGCUUCCAUUUCCCGUCUCAAAAAUCUCAAAACCCUGAUGCAAUGGGACGAGGAAUGGCGAAUAAGGGUGGAGAGAGGAAGCAGAGUGUUGUAGUACUGCUACUGCCACUGCUACUGCUGCUGCUGCUGCUGCUACUACUUUGCCGUGGAAAAAGGGGAAUUAGAAGGAGUAUAUUAAAUUAAAUUCAAUUGAUUGAGGGGGGAGUGGGGAGUGGGGGGGAGGAGAGUACGGUUUCGUUGGAGGGAGUGGGGGAAGCAUUGAAUUGCUGCUUACGGGCAAAGGGAGAAAGAGAAGGAGGUGGGUGGGAGUGGAUCGAGAAUGCCACAAAACAUUGCCUGCACCGGAUGUUUAUAAGUACGUCUCCAGACUCCAAUACACAAAAAAAGUCUAAAAUAGAUCAGUUAUAUUGCUGGUAAGAUAUUCCUAAUCAAUCAAAUUAUUUCUCUCGUAUUCGCCCAUCCAAUCAUGAUUAUUAAAAAAAAAAACUUUUAUUAUACUUCCCUUUCGAAAAGAGAGAUAUGAUUUGCUAAUUAUUGAUGAUAUAGUAUAAAUUUUAUAUGGUAGAUGUAUCUCUAGGCAUAUUAAGUGAGCCAACUUAGCUAUACGCCCGGUGCUUAUGGCCUUCAUUUUUUUCCCAUCAGCCAUGCCAGCUCAGUUGACUUGUGUUUUUUUUUUCAAUUGUAUUUUUUUUUCUCAGUUGUAAUCCUAUUUCUCAGUUGUAAUUCUAUUUUUCCGAGGCCAAGAGUCAAGUCCUGUAGCUAAAUUCAUCUGCUAAAUGAAUGAAGCGGGUAGCGUGCUAUCUUUCUCUCAAAAAAUAAAAUAAAAUAAAAUAAAAUAUUUUUUGUAUAUGCCAAUUUACAGGAUUUAUCGUGUGUCAUUUUCUCAAUUCUUGAUCGUUAGCAGUUUGCGAAUUUAUGCAUCAGGACGGUUUAGCUGGCUUAACAUGUGGGUGACCGACAAACACUUUUUGUCAAAAAAGUAUUAGCCGUGUAACAAGUGCAAACUAUACAAUGAAAAAAGUGAGUGUAAAUUUUAUACUCUAUCAAUCCAACGGCUAAUAUAUAUUUUUAAUAUUAAAAAUUGAAAAGAGUGUUCAAUUAGAAAGAUAAAGACUUUAAAACAAAAUUCUAUGGUGAAUUGUUUAAAAAGAAAAAGGUGAAUUGUUUUUAUCUUUCCUUGACUUCUAAAUUAUUUUAAAAAUAUCUUAGAAGUAAACUAACUAAUCAUAAUAAUAAGAAAUUUGUAUUUAUACAAGUUUAUCAAGAAUUAAUAUUUAAAACAAAAAAAAUUAAAGGCAACGAUGCCUGACUUGGCCUAAAAUAAACUUCAAUUUUUCCGUGUUGGUUUAGUGCAUUUUUAUUUUAUCAUUUUAUGAUUUCAAAAUUGUAUUUAAAUACUUUGUGAUUUUAUUUUUAUUUUACAGUACGUAUCUAGCAUUUCAAAAUAUGGUAAAAUAAUAUUUUUUUUUGCAAACAACAAGAUAGUACAAAUAGUACUUUAUUAUUCUUUAAUCUACACUUUUAUCAUUUGUUAUUUGCAAUAUUAUCCUAUUUUUUAACACUAAAUCCUUCCAGUAAACUAAAAAUAAAACCUCAGAGUUAUUAAAUAAAAUUUAUUUAAGGCAUAGGAUGGCAAAGUGAAUAUGCGCUAAACUACAAAAAAAAAAAAAAAAAAAAAAAAAAAAAAAAAAAAAAAAAAAAAAAAAAAAAAAAAAAAAAAUUGAAAGCUUAUCCAAAAUUUAAAUCGAUGAUGUGCCCAAAAAAAUUCAAAAGGGCUGCAUAUAAAAGGAAAAAAAAAAACUAAAUUUUGGACAUUAAUUUCUUGCAAAUUGAACCAUAAUCAUUUUUUUUUAAUUGUCGAUUAUUGAGACUAUUUGACACUUUAAUAAUAUAUUAUUUAGUGGAAGACCUUUUAAUAUAUGACACGAAGUGUAUCUACCUAAUUGAUUUUAUAAAAAACUUCAAAUAUCAUUUCUGUUUUUUCGUAUUUUUUUUAUUUUAGUACUAUAUGGUUUAAAGUGUAUCAAUUUAGUAUCCCGUGGUUUCGUUUUUCUCUUUUUAUUAUUCCAUUUAUUAUUUUUUUUUUUGCUAAAUCAGUGACAAAGUUAAAAGUAAAAUGUACUAAAGUGAAUAUUCGAUAAACCUAGAUGGGGUAUCUGAAGUUUUUUUAUAUAUAAUUUAACAAAAUAUUAACGAAAAAGCUGUCGAAAAGAAAAAAAUAAAAUUGAUAUACUUUAACCACAGAAUAUUAAAAUGAGAAAAUAUGAAACCAUGGCUGUGGUAUUUGAAGUUUACCCUUGAUUUUAAUUAAUUUUGAGACACUCACACCUAUCAUGCAAAAUUAAGUGUGGUGCAUGAGGUGUACGGAUACACCGGGUGCAGGAAAUAAUUUUCCCUGCAAUAGGGAGGAGGAGCAGCGCGAGAUCGUGGCGUUUGCGCGCUUUCCACGCUACAUUAAAGGGGCCUGCAAAAAGAUGGUAAUAAGGUAAAAAUGCACAGGGACUCCCUCAACUAUAACAAAUUCUCUAACAACUCCCUCAACUAUAAAUUUUUGGGAAAACUUCAAAACCCUCCCCUGUGGUUUCGUAGUUUCUCACUUUGCCCCCCUGUGAUUUAAAAUGUAUCAAUUUGCUCCCCUGUGGUUUCUUUUUUCUCUUUUUCUUAUCAAUUUCAUUAUUUUUUUUUCUUAAAUCAGUGAUAAAGUUAAAAUUAAAGGGUACUAAAGUGAAUAUUUGAUAAAUCUAGAUUGGUAUCUGAAGUUUUUUUGUAUAUAAUUUAAUGAAAUAUUAACGAAAAAGCUACCGAAAAGAUAAAAACGAAACCACAGGGGGGGCAAAUUGAUACACUUUAAACCACAGGGGGGCAAAGUAAGAAACUACGAAACCACAGGAGGGUUUUUGAAGUUUUUCCUAAAUUUUUUUUAAAAAUUGAGAUUUUUUUUUUUUGGAAUUGACUGAAUUUAACCAAAUAAAAUUGUAUAUUAAAAAUUAAUUAAUACUAUUAUAGAGAGAGAGAGAGAGAGAGAGAGAAUAAGACUAGGUUGAAUCAAUUUCUAAUAGAUAAUUAAGCCAUAAAAAUAUGCCAAUUAAAAAAAAAAUUAAGGUUGAGGGGUCCAUUUGAGAAUAGUUGAGGGGGUUUCCAGACAUAUUUACGUACCUUUAAAAUAUCGGUGCGUUCCGUACGAGUAGUUAUAUGCGUGUAAAGGAGGAGAAGAGGAUGAAGACACGGAGGAGACACAGUUUCCGUUACAGUAAAGUAGUCGACAACGACUGGAGAUUGCGUAGAAUUACGAGGACUUCAAUUUAAUGAUAAAAAAAUUUUAAAAAAAAUAAUAUUAUUACUAUACAUAUAUAUUUAUAUAUAUUUCAUAUCAAAAUAUAUUUCGUAGAAAACCCCGCCAAGGAACACUAUAGUUUGGUUUUAAAUUUGUCUCUUUUAAUUUUAAUAAUUGACUCACUAAACAUUAUCAAACAAUUAAACAUUUUUUUUUCUCAACUAAAUUGCUAAUGAUAUUGUAGUUUAUAUUGCACAUCUUGCAAAAUAAUUUUGUGUGAUUUUAAAAUGUAAGAUUUUUUUUUUUUUUGAGAAUAGGUAGUUUGCUAUCUAUUAUUAUAUUCAUAAAACACAUAAACUGAGCCACGGAGCUGAGGCGACUAGACCUCAAGAGCGAAAAUGCUACUACGAAACUCGGUUUUCUUCCCAAAUCUUCCUUAGCCAUCUAAUAUCUUGCGACAGUUGUCUUGUAUCUACUCUCUGCCUGCGGAAGAUCCUUUGGUUUCGCUCGAGCCAUAGGAUCCACCAUGUAGCAGCAACUGUUGGUAGCUCCUUCCUCAUUAUUCACCCCACCUUUGCUCAGGAUGUCUACUGAGGAUUGUCCAUAGUAAGUGUGAGAUGUGUCUAGAAGAAAUUAUGAAUAAAAAUUUAAAGACCAAAAGCUCUAAUAAUAAUAAUAACUAUACUUAAACAUUUUGUGUCGGUAGUUUGGGCUCGACAAGUUAUUAGUACUAAUGGAUUGGGACACUACACAGAUUUGACUAAGAACUUCUAUAAAGAGAUCCAUCUCUAUUUAAUUGCUACAUAUUUGACUAAGAACUUUUGUAAAGAAAUCCACCUCCAUUUGAUCUAGUCCUAUCGAUAGUUCCCACUAUUAAUUAGUCGGUACACAGUUUGCAAGAAAUGCUUUGAAUUCUUAGACCAUAUCUCUCUCCGGCUCGAAUGUAGGAAAAAAAUCUUGUCAAUAUCAAGUUCCAAUUCCACCCUCUUUUUUAUGGUUUCGAACCAAUAAGUUAUUAGUGCUAACGGAUUGGGUUACUAUACAUUUGACUAAGAACUUUUGUAAAGAGAUCCAUCUCCAUUUGAUAUCGCCCUAUCUAUUGUUCUCACUAUUGGUCGCUACACAGCUUGCAAGAAAAGCUUUGAAUUUCUAAACCAUAUCUCUCUCCCACAUUUCUACAGACGGCCUUCCAUUGCAUUAGGCAGUGUCCCUCACUAAGAGUUACGUCUCUCUUCUCGAAGAAUGCUCUUCUCAAGGCUUCAAUAGAUUGUAUAUAUGGCCCAUCUCAUAGCCUUGUACAGUGAGAAGUAAUCGAGGGGUAGGUUUGAAAGCACCUAUCUUCCAUUUUUGUUGCUUCUUUUACAGGUUACAAUAAAAGAUUUUUCUUUUUGUGUGUGUUUUAAAGUUUUACAAGAUUGUAUGCUAGACCUAUAUCCAAAAAGACUAUUUAUUUAGUAACUUCAGUUGAAGAGAGAGGGCUUGAAGUAUUAAUAAAGUUUACGGCGUCUAAUUUCUAAAAUUGAAUUUUUAUGAGUUUGUUUAAAAAGCGCGUCAGUUUAGAGGGUUUUUGUUCGGUUUUUUCCUUUAUUAUUUAGGCAUCAAUGUUUAUAAAUUACGAUGAAAUCGUCACUUCUUUAAUUGCCAUCAACUUUUAGCUGAUAAAUCAAUGAAAUUUUAUUGAAGAUAAAAUGUAAACAAUAAACUUUUAAUAGUAGGUUAGACAUUUUAAAAAUAAUUGAUUAUUUUACAUGGUAUUAAAGCAGUAGAUUCUAAAAUUAAACAGGCUUCUAAAUUACAUCCACUGUAACCUCUAAUCUGAGGACUGUGAAGUAGAUGGAAAAUAGGUCCCGCACAAACUGUAGGAGAAAUUCUAAGCUUAGAAGAGCAUAAAUUAAAAUGCACUUGGACUAAUUUCGAGCUUAAAAUCAUCAAAUAGAUUGCGACAUGCUCCAAAAGUAGACAUGAACCAAAGAAAUUGAAGUCAAAGCCAAACAAUUGGUGAGUACAUAUCCAUAAAUUGACAUAAAAUUUAUCCGGAAUAAUAUUAACACCUUCAUUUACCAGCAUAGUGAAAUUAACAUAAGCGCAGCCCAUGACUAUCUAAUGUUGAAAUUGAACUCACCAAACACAACCUAUCAAUUAUCAAACUCUGAAAUUGAAACCACGAUCUCACAGAACUUAAAAUGGCUGAUAUCUAAAAGGACUCAUUACCGGCUAGCCUACCAUGUUGCCUAUGAAAUUGUUUAUUAGUUGAAUCAAAUUCGGAUUCUCCUUUGUAAUCAUAAUAUCUUCUGUUCACAAGGCUAUUUAUAUCAUAUUGUAAAAAGAAUAAUCAAAGAGCUUUUCUAUAUUAUGCUGCAUAGUCAGCUUUCCAGCUUCAUCAUCAAUCAAUGAGUUACCACAUACCCUUUUUUCUUUGGAGAACGAUGGGAUGCUCCUAUUUCUUUUAUUUUUUUUAAAAAAAAUAAAUUUAGUUGAAAAUAUGAAACAAUUAAAUUCCAAAUUUAAUACCUCGAGUAUUGGUCAUCAAGCCCUUCGUCACUUAUCUCAUUAAGUAAACAAAAGAGAUGCCAAAGACAUGCACUGAAACAAAUCCUAAUAAAUAAAGGGGAUAAUUACCUGCAUACUCCUUAAUUAAAGACUUUUAUGUUCACUCCUAAAAGUGAUAAAAUCAACCCCUCUAGGAUGCGUUUGGUUUGAAGUCGGAAUCAGAAUUAGAAUCGGAAUCAAAAUAAGCUGGAAUCGGAAUCGCUAAUUUUGUUUGGUUCGUUACCUGAAUCGGAAUCGAAAUAAAUCAUUCUUAUUGUCGGUGUUUGGUUUAGGUAGAUAUAAAAAACGUAAUCAAAUUAAUAUACUAACUUUAUCUUUACAAUAUAUUAAUUUAAAUUCAAAUUGAAAAUUAAAUAUUAAAAAUUUACAUCAAAAUUUUGAAAUAAUGUCAAAAUUUUAAAUUUUUUUUUUAAAAAAAAUUAAACUUUGAAGUUGAGUGGAUAAUUCAAAAUAUAAAACUAAAUUUCGAUUUAUUCAAAUUCAAACUUAAAAUUACAAUUUAACUUAAAAUUACAGUUUUAAAUAAAAUUUGAAUAAAACUUUAUAUAAAUUAAAAUUUAAUUUAAAUUCAAAUUUAUAAGUUAGAUUCAAAAUACUUAAUUAAAUUUUAAUUUUUAAAUCAAAUUCAAAAUUCAAAUUUAAAAUUAUAAAUUUAAUUUUUAAAUUUAAACUCAUAUUUUAAUUAAAAAAAAUUAAAAAAAUAAAUUUAAUCCGAAUAAAUAUCUAUUUCGUCAUAAUUCAACUUUCAAUCCGGACUCCUAGGCCGGAUUGAAAAAAUAGAUGAUUGAAAAUUUUUCAUUCCACUCGGGAAUCAGAAUCGGAAGAUAACUCCCGCAUAUCAAACACGAAUUCAUCCAUUUCAAUUCCAAUUCUAUUGGUCGUUAUUUUUAUAUUUCUUUUCAGUUACUAUAC
rnacentral:lncRNA from 1 species